rnacentral:lncRNA from 1 species
AGAAAACAGGUAUCACAUCCCUUCCAAAUCUCUUCUUGCAUUCAAGUAUCUUACUGAGUUCAUUCAAGCACCAAGUGGAAGAUGCAUAGUUUUGGGAGAAAACGAUGACAUAAAUCUUUGAUUCUUCUAUUGCAGAGAGCAGUGCAGGUGAAAUUUCUUCGCCCCUGAGUAGUCUAUAAUCAAUAUAUGCUUCAAUGUUCUUCCUUUGCAGUGCUGCAUAAAGGUGGCUAAUGAAGUUGUCACGUGUGUCUUCGCCUCUGAAGCUGAGAAACACAUCAUGCCUUGUUAGAGAAGUAGACACGGCCAAUGAUGAAGGACUUUCUGACAUUGGAGUCAAUUUUCUCUCCUUUCUCUGCAAUUCUCAGGUCUCUUUCUUUGUACUGUUUCUACCACAAAUCUACUCUGCUGCUCUGGACUCAUUAUAAAACACAAGUCAACUUUUGAAAAAGUCUUUCAAUUUUCUUAACAUUCCUUUCACAGAUAUGUGUUCUGGUCAGACAUCGUAGUCAGCAGAAACUAAAGAAAAAGAAAAAUAUUAAUUUAAUAGAAUAGUCAACAAAUUGCAAAAUAAGUAUGGAAUCUAGAUUUAUAUCAUUAUCACGUGUGGAAACAUAGCUACGUCUUCUUAGAUAAAAUCCUUAUUUAAGUUUUAAUUGGGCCUUGUAGUGGGCUUUGUAAUCUGCUUUUCUUUUCUCCUAUAUUGCUUUAUAUAUACACCUCCACUUUUGCUUUCUACAUUUCAUUUUACAAAAUACAUUCUCUCAUUCUGUGUCAUUUAUCUUGCCUGAUUCCGUCCUCUCUUUAUCUUUUUCUCUCAUCCUCUUGCUUAUAAUUCUUUUGUUUUUAUUAAGAAAUACACUAUAAUUCUAAUUUAAUCAUAUACUAUAAUUAUGCUAAUCAUCAAUUAGUACUAUAUAUUAUUAAUGAUCUGCGUAUAUAUUAUUUAUGAUUUGCGGAUAAGACAAUAGAUUCAAUAAAUUCUAGAUAAAAUAAAUUUUAAAUGAAUAUGAUAAAAAUAUAUUAAAAAAUGAACUUUAUUGAAUCGAUUGAGUAUCUCUAUUUUAAAGACUUGUAAGAAUAAUAGGAAUAACAAUAUAUUAAUAUUAAUAUGUUUCUUAAUAAAUUUCAUACCCACUAUCUAUUUAUAAAUUAAUAUAUUAUAAAUAUCUAAUGAUGUCUUAUUUCUCUAACAUUUAAAAUUAAAUUUGUAGAUUCUACAAAACAUUACAUUUUGAUUUUAAUAUUUAUAAAAUAUUUUUUAUUCUCAUAUUUAAAAAACAAAACUUAGUUUGAGUGUAUUCCUUAGUUACUUACUACUCAUCACCAGCCGCCAACAGCGUGAUGGCUUCACUCUCCGUUCGCGCCACAACCACCUCUUAUCGGGCCUCCUUCCGGCCCAAGCCCACCUCGGGGCCCACCAGGGUCCGAAUGUCCCUCCGCGAUGACGGCCCCGCCAUCGCCGUCGUCGGCGUCACCGGCGCCGUUGGCGAGGAGUUCCUCUCCGACCGCGACUUCCCCUACCGUUCCAUCAAAAUGCUGGCCUCGCAGCUCUCCGCCGGCCGCCGCAUCAUCUUCGAGGACAGGGACUACGUCGUGGAGGAGCUCACAGCGGAUAGCUUCGACGGCGUCGACAUUGCGCUCUUUAGCGCCGGCGGUGGUAGACUAUAGCUCCGCAUUUGGGAUGGACGAGAAGGUGACGCUGGUUAUUCCCGAAGUGAAGCCCCAAACGAUGCAACACAUCAAAGUUGGAACGGGAAAAGGCGCUCUGAUUGCGAACCCUAAUUGCUCCACCAUUAUUUGCUUGAUGGACAUACUAAUUAAUAUCAAUUAUAACAAAUAAUGAACGUUUCUGGUCAUUUCUUGUACUUCGCGUUAUUUCAUAACAGUAGUUUUUUUAAAUAAAUUAAGAAAAAUAUUCAUUUUUAAAUUUAAUGCACUUUUAAAUAAUUUGACUAUUAUAAACAUAAUCACUUAUAAAAAUAAUUUUAGAGUAGUUGAUAUAAUUAAAAUAAAAUAUUUUAUUAUUAAAGUAAAAAUUAUAUAUAAAUAAAAAAUAGGUUUUAUUUUAAAAUAAUAUUCAAUUUUAUAAAAGUUUUUUCUUUUUGUCUUUUUUUUUUUAUAUUUCUAACCAUAUUUUUUCGUGAGGUUGAUAAUAGAAUCUCACUUUGGAUUUAUGGGAAUGAAUAAUGAAUUAGUUUUUAGUUUUCUAUUUAUCUAUAUAUAAAGGUGAUACGGUGACAAAUUCCAAAAUUUUAUUAUAAUGUUUGCUUUGUUGAUUGAAAUAGAUGUUAAUUGAUGAAAAAGAUUGAAAGUUUUAAACCCAAUACACCCCUCACGUCGAGGUUAGGUGGACUGAUAAGUUCAGCAAAAUCUCGUUAUGAUAGUUUUUAGAUGACUCUGAUACCACAAUAAAAAAUAAACUUUAAAUUUAACUCAACCUUACAAAACUAAUUUAUAAAGUGAGCUAUGUAUCCCUAGUCGAUGUAGAAUCUCUAACAAUGAUUUAAAUGAAUUGUUAUAUGCUUUAUGAAGUUUAACCUUUAUUUUUACUUGACAAAUUGGAUUUUAAUGAGGUAUAUAUGCUCUCAGCAUCAAAUCCGCUUAACGAAAUUUAUAUGUGUCAAGCGAAUUUGGACAUGUAGAGUUUGAUGUGCUCUUGGCCUCAAAUCCGCUCAAUGUUUUUUUUUCCUGUACUUAAGCAAACUUACAUCCAGAUUUUGGAGUACUUUCGAACUCAAAUUUGCUCAAAGAAAUUUUCUUAUGGUAAGCAAAUUUAAGCGGCUAUUGUUUGGAUGUUCUCUGCCUCAAAUUCGUUCAGUGAAAUUUUCCUGUGCUAAGGAGAUUUCUCUGGGCUUAAGCCCCAACUUCAUGGGCUCGACCCAUUUUGACGACAUUUGUCAUCUUUGCUUAGAUAUCUUUUGGUUUGUUUUCUAUAGGUCAUGAAAUUGAAUUAAAUCUUUUGAAAUUUAUCAUUUUGUAAAUUGUAAGUGAUUACAACUUUCUAAUGUUCAUGCAACAUGUGUUUAAAAUAAGUAAAUCUAACAAAUAAAUACUCGUUACAUAUUCAAUGGAAAGCUUUUUCUUUUAAUUCUUUGGUGUUUUAUUUUGAUGAUGUAUAUAUUUGAAAAUCAAUGUAUGAAUGGAUAAUGCUUUAUGAUAUAAUAAUAUUACAAUGUAAAUGUUAUUUAUAUACUAUCACAUGAUAAAUUAAAAUUUAAUAAGAUAGUUAAGGAUGUUAUAAUUAUUCUUUUAAUUUAUUUUAUUUCACUGUAUAUUUAGGUGUAUUACGUAGAAUGUAUAGUUAAAAAAAUAAUGUUAUUUUGAAAUUUAAAGAAUGACGUAUAGAAAUAAACAAGCUUUUGUUAAAAUUAUACUAUUUGAAAAGGAACACAGAACAAUAUUGACAAUUAUACUUUUACUUAUUACUUAUUUUAAUUUAUUAUAUUCAUGAGUAUUAUUUUUUUUAAACAUAGAUAUUGGAUAAAAAAUAUAAAUAACAUUUAUUUAUUUCAAAUUUAAAAAUCUUUAAAAUAAAAUUAAAUAAUAUUUUUAAUUAAGAUGUGUUUUUUAACAAUUUUUUUAAUUUAAAAAAUAAUUAAUUCGGAGGAUGAUUAAAGAAAUAUUAACAAAUUAUUUCUGCGUUUAUAAUAAACCUUCAAUAAUAUUUGUACUUUCUAGCAUAUAGAAUACUUAAUGGAUCCCUUUGUGAUUUUUCUUUUCUAAAGUGCAAUUGAUAUUUUAAAUGUUUUUCUAUUUAAUUUUCCUUUCUUAAUGACACAUUAAAGGGUUCAGUGCACGAUUAAUUAUUCUCACCUUAGAUUUCAUUCAUCUCAUUCCAUUUCCACACUCAAAUCAUUCUCACAUUUUUUUCUACCUAUUUCACAAAGUUUUAUGUAAAAUAUGGAAAUUAAACUAAAAGAACCCUACUUAUAUAUUAAUAUUCAACAACUUAAAAUAUUACUAUGCAAAUUAAUCUUUCUUAAUAAUGUUAUGUAAAAAUUAAAAUGUAGUUUAGUCAUUCAUACUUAGAUGGAUAAAGAUGGUUUUAGAAAAAAAAUGCAUUUUAUUUCAAAUCUAUUACUUAUAAAAUGAGUUAUAAAAUGAGGUUUGUGAUAUUUAUUCAAAAUUUAAAUUAUAUUAUGCAUUUAUGGUUUUAUGUUUUUAAAGAAAUCAGAAACUUAGAAAAGCUCCUAAAAACUACUGAAAUCCAUAAGAUGAUAAUUAAUAAACAUCCUCUCUUAAUAACAUAACAUAUAAGAUAGGAGUCUUUACACUUAUAUUCUUCAAACAAUUAUAAGCUGUCUUCAACUUUACUGUUAAACUACAAUUAUAAAGAAUUAACAAUCUCACACACCAACAACAUUUAUAAGCCAUCACUCACAUGAAACAAGGUGCCUCAAUGUGAAAAAACCAAGAUCAAUAAGAAAUGAGGUUCCACUUAACCAAGCUGAGAAUUUUCUGGUUUUCCAACUCCAUGCACAAACCUAAUACAAUGAUAUGAUAUUCAAUCAGCAUUAAUUGGCAUAAACAGGUACAUUGUUGUAAAACUGGGAUUAUAAGGUUCCAUAGGAUGGAGAAAAGUAAGAAGAGGAUUUACCAAUUACCCUUUCAAAUGGAGCUCCUCAGGAUUUCAUAAUGCCUUCACUGCAAAUGCAACCCAAAUAUGCUAAAAAAGUUAAUGAAACUAUAUAUGAAGAGUUUCAAGAAAAUGCAACUCUGGGACAACAGAGAAACCCAUCUCAUGCUGAACAGAAACAUCAAACUAUAUCUAACAAUAACUUAGAAAUCUUUGUCAACAAUUGAACGAACCCACUCCUAAAAUGCCAUUGAAAAUGUAAAUAAAACAAAAUAAAUUAAAAACGAGAAAUUCAUAAUAAAAAUUCAACGUGUUGAAACUUAUGAUAACUCAGUUUAGAUCCUGACCAAUGAAAGACUAAUUAGCAGAAGAGGAAGAGACUAGUUGACAGGGUAGCUUUCGGCCUUUCUCUUCCUAUCUUUCCUUGUUUCUCUUGAAGACUGUGCAACAUUGCUUCCACUGGAUUCUUCAAUGUCAACAUCACCACCAUAUUUAUCAUCUUUCUUUUUGGUAUAAAGGGGGCAUAUGCCGCAUUCUUUUAUUGUGAUGUCUGAUGCCAUCACUCUCACACCUGAUUUGUAACUAUACAGACUGAUCUCAAAAGUGAAGCUGCGAGCAUCACAGACCCUAAGGCUCUUGCGGCUCGCCGUUAGGGACUCCAUGUUAAAUUUCCACACGAAUGUGUGAUCUUCAUCAACACAUCUGUGUUCACCAUUCCAUUUGAAAUAGCUGUUUAACACAUCAUUAUUUAGAAUGAUCUGUGUGCCAUCAUCAUCAUCAGAUUCAAAUUUUAGACUGUAACCAAAAGAACCAUAUCUACAUUUAACAGCUUUCGUAUCUAACACUCCAAAAACCACACACAAAGCGAAACCAGUGAGCCUAUCAUCGCUGCAGAAACUUAAAUCUUCAUUUAUAGUCACUGAAUGUCCCUUCCCACGAGAAUGGAACCAACGAGGAACUGCAUUCCCUGGAAAACAGAAGAACACAGACCUAUAUGCAUCGUCGGUCAUCCUAACCCAUGCAUCCUCCUCAAUGUUAGCACGAGCACCUGAAUCCAGUUGCUGAGCAUUGGUGAAAUGAAAUUUGAAGACACCCUCUUUGGAGUUUGAGAAGUUUGGAACAAGAGAAUUUGACAUCACUCUUCUGAUGGAUGGGCAAUCCAAUGCCACGAGUUGUUUUAGAAAUGGUGGAAUCUGUGGGAUGGAUUCAAGUUUUUUGCAGUCGCUUAAAUCGAGCGAGUUCAAGCUUGAAAGAUGAGCAAUGCUCUCAGGAAGGUUCACGAUUCCGCUAUCACGCAGUGACAGUUCCAUUAAUGACGUCAAGCGACCGAUGUGGCUUGGGAUUUCUGUUAAUUUGGCACACCCCGAACAAUCAAGUUUAGAGAGAAGCUUCAGAUUAACAAUGGAGUUUGGAAGUGACUCGAGAUGAAUGCACUCUUGGAGUUCCAGGGAUCGAAGAUUAACGAAAUUGCCAAAUGAGGAAGGCAGUUCUUUAACAGCCGUAGAUGUUAAGUUAAUGUGAGCAAAAGUAUGAGCCGGCUCCGCGAUCUCUGGGAAGGUCCUCAGCCUUGAGCAACCACGCAAAUCAAGGUUCCUCAACUUCAAAUUGAAAAUGGUGCUUGGAAAAGUUUGAAGUGAAUUACAGUGGGUAAGGUCUAACUUGCAUAGUCUGGUGAGGGUUCCAAUGGAAGAUGGAAUAAUCUCAAGAUUCAAGCAACUGCGCAAACUCAGUCCUUGAAGCCCUACCAAACGGCACAAGGAUGAAGGUAGUGCCUGUAUGGCUGUGCCGUCUAAGAUGAGCACCACUAGAUCUUCCAACGUGUCCUGAAUCUCGGGUAAAUUUUCCAAUUUUGAGCAACCACUGAGAGAAAGUUUCUUUAUGAAUUUCAUAUCAGAAAGGUGAAAUGGAAAGAUUGUAAGGGAAGAACAGUGAGAGAGAUCUAAGUAACAGAGCUUCUUGCGAUUAAAGUUGAAGUGACAGAGCUUCAUGAGUUUUGUGAACACUUUAAAACAUAUAGUAUCAUUAGCCACUUCUUCUUCCUUAUAUCUGUCAAAAGUAAUUGAGAAAAUUUCACUGGAAGUUGGGAAAAAAGGACCACGGUGUCGACGUUUACCACGCCGUCCUGAGAAAUUCGUCAUAUCCGGUUCCUGACGAGGGAAUAUUGAGAAAGUUUGAAGUUGACGCUCCAGUAUCACAUGAGGGAAUCUGGGUUUACUGAUCGAAAACAUAUUAAGCUUCGGACAACGGGAAAGAGUAAUCCAUCCUGGUGAUGUGGAUAAAAUGUUGCUGGGAAUAUUUACACUAUUCAGAUCAUUACAAUCAUCUAAACAUAAACAACUGAGCUUGUUGAGGAAUAUCCAAGAGUGAACUUCAAUCAACUUUUCACAACUUUUCAGAAUUAUUUCUUCAAUAUUUGGUGACAUAGAAAGGUCUGGUAUUCUAGUAAGUUUCCGAGAAUAACUCAGGUCGAGCCUUUUCAAGUUGGGUAAAUUCUGCCACAAAUAGGAAAUGAAUGAGGUAACAAAUAAAAACUACUUUAUCUAUUUUUCUUCGGUAAAAUAUUAGCUACAUCAUCUAAUCUAUUCACUUUAUAUUUUACAUUACUUCAAAACCACUGUUAAAAAAAAUCACACUGUCAACUAACAAAACUGUGGCUAUAAAUUUAAUAGUUAUUAUAAAAAACCACAAAAUUUAACGUGUUUUUGUUCCCUACCUCAAAUUACAUCCUAAUAAUUUGAACCUAAACUUAUUAUGUAUUUAAAAACUGAUGAUAGUAAUUUAUAAUCGAUGACAGUGUGGAAAUACUUUAUAUCAUGCAUGUAUCAACUGACAAAAUAAAAUGGUGUUGUCUGAUGAUAGUAAUUUAUAAUCGAUGACCAUCUUUCCAUAAUUUAUUUUAUUAAAUACAUAAUUUGUUGUAUAUUAUAUUGAAGUUUAUGUUAUAAUAAUAAAAAAAUACUUAAUUAGGUUUUGAGUAUCCAGUAAGACAUUUUUAAUUAAUUUUUUUAUUAAAUUUUUUAAUUAUUUAAGUACUCAAAUUUUUUAUAUUUCCAAUAGAAUAUAUGUCAUUUUUAAUUUUUGAGUUAAUUGGGUGAUACAGAAAUUAUCUUGUCACAUGAUCUUACUUACUUGUCUUUAUGUAUUAAGGAAUAUGAAGUUUUAUGAUUGGCCAUUAGACUAUAUACCUAAAAAGAGGAUGCAAACUCUUCUACAUGCUACUAAAUUUAUAACUAUCUUUAAUUAGAAACAUGCUGAGUAUGAUUCUUAUGAUAUAUGUAUAACUGUGUGGUUCAAAUAAAAGAAAUUUCAAAUCGAAUAAUGUGGAGAAGCACAAAGGAAUUGCAAAUGAAAACCAGUAGAUGUAUAAUACAGAAAACAUGCUUGUAUAACUUAUUUUUGUCUUUGAAAGUUUAGAACACAAAGAAACAUAGAUAGCUUGAAAAACCUGAUCUCCUUCCCAGAGUUGUUCAAGAUGGCAGUAUGGCAUUUCGAGGGUCACUAGAUUUUGCGGGCAAAAGUUUGGAGGCAAAGAUCUUUGAGGGAAAUGUUUCCAAUAAAGAAUCUUUAGAGUGUCUGGCAGACCUACAAUAGAUGAUUCAAGAGACACAUUUGACGUGUAUUUUGGCGUGUUGAGCAUAAGCAUCCUAAGAUUGUCCAUCUUUUCGAAACUUUGUGCAUGUACUACAACUUCAUUUACUUUGCUCGUAUCUAGUGAUAUACACUGUAUUGCAUCUAACCCCUGAAAGUAAAUCAAUGUAAUUAGAAAAAAAAAGCAUGAAAUGUUGCUGUAUGGUUAUGGGCAGAUUGAUGAGAUAUGGUAACCUUCGGAUACUGAUCAUGAAGUGACAUAAAGGAGAAGGAAGCGUUACUGAAGGAGAGUAAUGGAAAUUUAUGAGAAAUUAAGCCGUUGGUUACAGAGACUAGGUAGGGACCGAGUCAUCUAUACCAGGGACCGAGUCAUCUAUAAGAGGAGGCAGAGACGAAGAGUAGGGGUAGGAAAAAAAGAUAUGGUUUUUAUAUUAUCUUUGAUGCUCUAGCUAAGGAUCAUCUGUCCUAAAACAGUUGCAUUUCUGGAUGUUUAAUGACAGCUCAAUAGUUUGCAGUUUUUUCACAAAGUAACAACAGAAUAUACCUUGUUUUUUCUUAAAACAUCACAAAUUUCCUCAGCAUUAAACAGUCGGCUGCGUUUUCCAGGAUGCCGACGACACUCUUUACGAACAAUUUCUUGACCCAUUUCUUGUAUUAGAUCGUGCAUCAUAAUAAUACCAUUAAAGACAGAUAUUAGGCACCUAUCUUUGAGAACAUCCAUUACAAUCUUAGUAGAGAAACCAUUGCAGUCAUCAAGUAUUUCUGCCAGCACAAUCUCCUGGUAUCCUCUAUAAAAGCAAGCAAUGUCAAGAAAUAUAUUCUUCUCCACCUCCUCGAGCCCAUCAUAACUUAAUUUUAAUACAUUGAAAAUACCAUGAUGUUGGCCCUUUUUCAACUUUUGCAACUGACUUUCCCAUGCUUCUUUUGUUCUGUCACAAAGCAAUGAGCCCAAAAUCUGGAGAGCUAACGGAAUCCCUUUUGCAUAACUCAACACCUUUCCUGACAGUUCCUUGUAAGCAAUUUCUUCUGAAGAUUUUUGUUUAAAAGCAUGUAAACUAAAAAGUCUUAGAGAAUCAUCAGAAUUCAACUCCUUAACUUCGUAGAUAUCAUCAGCUCUAGCAUUCUUAAGCACUUGUCUGUCUCUACUGGUCAUAAUGAUUCUACUGCCCUGCCUAAAACUAUCACUCCAUCCUAUUAAUUUUUGAAGUUGAGCUGAAUCGGUAACAUCAUCAAGAAUGAGGAGAGCCUUUGUCCGUUUGAGCCUUUCUUUGUAAUAUGGUAAAGAAGAAGAUUUCUCUUCCUUUAGAAGCUCAGACAGAUAUUUUGUUCUGAUACUAUCUAUUCCAUCUCUUUGUAUUUUUUCUUGAACGUCUAAAACAAGGCUGCUGGAAUCAAACUGCAAUGCCAAUUUCUGAUAUAUUUGAUCACAAAUUGUACUUUUUCCUAUUCCUCCCAUGCCCCAAAUUCCUAUGAUCCGAACAUCCGGUGACUCAGGAUGCAACAAGGACUGAAUUCCUUCAAUAUGUUUUUGAAUGCCGAUGAUUCCUUGAUCAUAACUGGUGGAAUAAAGAUUCAAUUUUCCCAAAAUAUCUUCCACAAUUUUUUCAACAAGUUUGUGGUCAUUCCUGGCAGAUGAUUUAGAAAAUAAAGUAUAAGAAUUCAAGCACAAAAGCUAAACUAAACUAAAGAAAAAUUCAGAGUCAAGAGGAGUGAACAUCAUUGAAUAGAUUCACAUAUCGAUUCUAGUUUCGAGUUCUGGAUAAAAUAAAUAAAUUAAAAAGUUGAAGGUAAGUUUAGGACGUUAUCUUCCUAUAUUAGUUUGGUUGGUUUAGUAAUUGCAAAUCAAGAUCGCAGAAAUUCUACAGUAACCGUAUGUGACUUCUGAUAAUAGGGAGCAGAUUUGUAGGUACAAAGUUAAGCUAUAACAUGUGAUAUGGUUCAGAUCCAUGACCGACUAAGAGAAAUGAAAAAAGAAACACUUGAUUUAUGGUGAGAUGAACACAAUUUUAGUAAAUGAAAAGAGAUCCUGAUUAUCUAAUAAAUAUAAUGACCUGGUGACUUUUGAAUCCCAGCCUGCAAGUUCAGCAGCUUCGGUUAGAGCAUCCUUCCAUCCUUGCACUCUGUCCAUGUCGUGCUUAAGCCGCUGUUCAUGCUCAUCAAAUGCUUCUUUGAAUCUUUGUUCCUGCUUCCUAAUAGUUGAUGGAUCCACCUUGUAGAAAACAGGUAUCACAUCCCUUCCAUAUCUCUUCUUGCAUUCAAGUAUCUUAGUGAGUUCAUUCAAGCACCAAGUGGAAGAUGCAUAGUUUUGGGAGAAAACGAUGACAUAAAUCUUUGAUUCUUCUAUUGCAGAGAGUAGUGCAGGUGAAAUUUCUUCGCCCCGGGGUAGUCUCUCGUCAAUAUAUGCUUGAAUGUUCUUCCUUUGCAGUGCUGCAUGAAGGUGACGAAUGAAGUUGUCACGUGUGUCUUCCCCUCUGAAGCUGAGAAACACAUCAUGCUUUGUUAGAGAAGCAGACACGGGGAAUGAUGAAGGACUUCCUGACAUUGGAAUCAAUUUUCUCUCUUUUCUCUUGCAACUCUCAGUGCCUUUGUUUGUACACAAAUCAACUCUUGGAAAAGUCUUUGAAUUUUCUCAAAAGUAUCUUUCACAGAUCACGCACGCGUGGAAACAUAGCUGUGUUAAAAUCCUUAUUUAAGUUUUAAUUGGGCCUUGUAGUGGGCUUUGUAAUGUGCUUUUCUUUUCUCCUACAUUGCUUUAUAUAUACACCUCAGCGUUUGCUUUCUACAUUUCAUUUUACAAAAUACAUUCUCUCAUUUUCUACCUUUUAUAUUGUCUGAUUCCGUUCUCUCUUUAUUUUUUUUCAAAUCUCUUUUGCUUACAAUUUUUUUUUCUUUUUUAAGAAAUGUACUUUUUCAAGUUUAAUUUAAUUUUAUAAAACAGUCAUCUUUCUACAGUAUUAUCAUCUCUUACGUGAGAUUAUUAUAUAUUAUUUGGUGAUCUAAGUAAACUUUUAAUCCAAUAAACUUUAAAAAUAAUUCUAAUACUAUAUUAAAAAAUGAAAUUUAAAUCUAAUUCUAUUUUAUAAAAUAUAUUUAUUCAAUGCUAAAAUAUCUCUAAUUGAGUAGGGAUGUUCAAAAUACUUAUUGGUUCUUGAUUUUCACUUUCACUUUUAAGGUUUUUCUUCGCAGACACGUAGUAAACAGAAAUACAAAAAUAUGAGUCAAUGGAAGAGUCUAACGAUUCGCAGAAUAUUAUGGUGUCUAGCUUUAUACCGCAUUAAUGCGAGGAGUUUCUUUAAUAUUUUUACUCAAUUUAUUUAUUUUUAAUUCUUUUUUUUUUCACACCUUUUACAAAUAAAGAAUCGUAUUUCUUUAAUAUAUUUUAGAAAAUAACCACUAAACCUUAUUAUAAAAUAUAUUUAUGAAAUGCACGUGUAAGAAUAACAGGAAAAAUAUUACUACGAAAAACAAUAUAUUAAUAUUAAUAUGUUUCUUAAUAAAUUUCAUACCCACUGUCUAUUUAUAAAUUAAUAUAAUAUAAAUAUCUUUAAUGAUGUUUUUGUGGGUAGCUUAUUUCUCUAACGCAGAAUAUUAUGGUGUCUACUUUUAUAAAACAUUACAUUUUGAUUUUAAUAUUUAUUAAAUAUUUUUUAUUUGGGAUGAAGUAACGAUGAUGAAUCGAAUGUGUUUUGAAGUCUGACAUAACUUUUAGAGAUGUUAUGAGAACGGUUAAUGACGGAAAUUAUCAAAAACCUUUUGGGGGAAGGUUGUGGUUUUGGGAGGUGAUUUCAGGUAAAUAUUGUUAGUGGUAAAAAAAGGAUUAAGAUAUGAUGUUGUGAAGUCAACAAUCAACUUUUCUCAUUUGUGGUUAAAUUGUCGAGUCUUAAAACUUUCUCAAGGAAAUCCAACACGAUCUAUUGAUUGAGCCCACAAAAACACCUUUGUUAUCAUUGGUGAAUUUUGUUUAUCCUAAUUUAUUGACUGAUAUGUUAUGUCCUGAGUACUUUGAGUAUGGAGCAAUACUUUGUCCGACAACUGAAUCAGUAGAGCAAGUGAAUGAUUUUAUUUUAUCUCUGUUAAGUGGUAAAUAAAUAAAUUAUCUUAGUUCGGAUACACCUUGCCAAUUAGAUUAAGAUCAAGAAUUUAAAGUGAAUGGUUCACUUCUGAGUUCUUAAAUGAGAUAAAAUGUUCAGAGAUACUAAAUCAUCGCCUUCAUUUGAAAAUUGGCGUGCCUAUUAUGCUUUUGAGAAAUAUUGAUCAAACCAACGGUCUUUGUAAUGGAACAAGGUUGCAAGUUAUUGAUUUGAAGAAAAUGUUAUUUGUGCAAUAGUUCUAACAGGAACAAAUAUUGGUGAUAAAAUCUUUAUUUCAAUAAUGAAUUUGAUCCCUUUAGAUGUAGGUAUGCCAUUCAAAUUCUAGAGAAGACAAUUUCCAAUAACUUUAUGUUUUGCAAUGACAAUUAAGAAAAGUCAAAGUCAAUUAUUGACCAAAGUUGGUUUAUAUUUUUCACGUCCAAUUUUCACACAUUGAUAGUUGGAUGUAGCUAUUUAUAGAGUUAGAAAGAAAAAAAUUUAAAAAUUCUAACUCUUGAUGAAGAUGGGAAUGCAACAAACAAGAAAAAGAAAAUGUUUACACUGAAACUUUUGACAAUAUUUAAAAACAAUAGAAUUAUAUGAUAAACUUGGAAUAAUGGCUAAUUCUCCCUGCACCCAAUAUUUUUGAACAUGCAACUUUUAAAUUUGCUCCCUUGUAAUUAUAUUUUCUUAUGUGUGAUGUAGUAACAGUUGCCUUAUUUAAAAUGUUACUAAAUAACAUAUCAUUUAUAUCUGUUAUUUUUAUUCUGUUCUGAUUUUAUAUAUAUGUUAACGAAGUUGAGAAUUUUCUGAUUUUACAGGUCCAUGCACAAACCUAAUAUAAUGAUAUGAUAUUCAAUAUCAAGAGGUACUUGUCGUAAAACGGGGAAUAUGAGAGACUCCAUAGAAUGAAGAAAAAGUAUAAAGAGGAUUUACAAAUUACCCUUUCAAAUGCAGCUCCUCAGAAUUUCUUAAUGCCUUCACUGCAAAUGCAACCCAAAUAAGCUAAAGAAGUUAAUCAAACUAUACAUUAAGAGUUUCAAGAAAAUGAAACUCUGGAACAACAGAGCAACCCAUCUCAUGCUCAAUAGAAACAUCAAACUAUAUCUAACAAUAACUUAGAAAUCUUUGUCAACAAUUGAACGAACCCACUCCUAAAAUGCCAUUGAAAAUGUAAAUAAAUAAAUAAAAAUUAAAAAUGAGAAUUCAUAAUAAAAUUUCAUCGUGUUGAAACUUGUAAUUUAGAAGUAUUACGAUAAGCCAGUUUUGAUCCUCGCGAAUGAAAGACUAAUUAGCAGAAAGACUGUGCAAAAUUCCUUCCACUGGAUUCUUCGAUGUCAACUGAUUUGGUAUAAAGAGGACAUAUGCCGCAUUCUUUUAUUGUGAUAACUGAUUUCAACUCUCUCACAAGUAAUUUGCGAUUUGACCGAUUUGGCCGCAGAAAGGGAUCAUCAUAAUCAUGCGAACUGAUCUCAAAAGUGAAGCUGCGAGCAUCACACAGCCUAAGGCUCAUGCCGCUUGCCCUUAGGGACUCCAAGUUAAAUUUCCACACCAAUGUGUGAUCUUUAUCAACACCUCUCUCUUCAUCAUCCCAUCUGAAAUAGUUGUUUAACACAUCAUUAUUUGGAAUUAUCCGUGUGCCAUGAUCAUCAGAUUCAAAUUUUAGGCUGUAACCAAAGGAACCAUAUCUACCUUUAACAACUUUCGUAUCUAACACUUCAAAAACCACACACAAAGCGAAACCACUGAGCCUAUCAUCGCUUAAAAAACUUAAAUCUUCAUUUAUAGUCACUGAAUGUCCCUUCCCACGAAAAUGGAACCAACCAGGAACUGCACUCCCUGGAAAACAGAAGAACACACACCUAUAUCUAUCGUCGGUCAUCCUAAGCCUUGCAUCCUCCUCAAUGUUAGCACGACCACCUGAAUCCAGUUGUUGAGCAUUGGUCAAAAGAAAUUUGAAGAAACCCUCUUUGGAAUUUGACAAGUUUGGAACAAGAGAAUUGGACAUCACUCUUCUAAUGGAUGGGCAAUCCAAUGCCACUAGUUUUUUUAGAAAUGGUGGAAUCUCUGGGAUGCAUUCAAGCUUUUUGCAGUCGCUUAAAUCAAGCGAUUUCAAGCUUGAAAGAUGAGCAACGCUCUCAGGAAGGUUCACAAUUCCGCUAUCACACAGUGACAGUUCCAUUAAUGACGUCAAGCGACCGAUAUCUCUAGGGAUUUCUGUUAAUCUGGCACACCCCGAACAAUCAAGUUUAGAGAGAAGCUUGAGAUUAACAAUGGAGUUUGGAAGUGACUCCAGAUCAGUGCAUUUGCGGAGCUCCAGGGAUCGAAGAUUAACCAAAUUGGCAAAUGAGGAAGGCAGUUCUUUAACAGCCGUACAUAUCAAGUUAAUGUGAUCAAAAGUAGGAGCCGGCUCUGUGAUCUCUGGGAAGGUCCUCAGACUUGAGCAACCACACAAAUCAAGGUUCCUCAACUUCAAAUUGAAAAUGGUGCUUGGAAAAGUUUGUAGUGAACUACAGUGGGUAAGGUCUAACUUGCAUAGUCUGGUGAGGCUUCCAAUGGAAGAUGGAAUAAUCUCAAGAUUGAAGCAACUGCACAAACUCAGUUGUUGAAGCCCUACCAAACGGCACAAGGAUGAAGGUAGUGCCUGUAUGGCUGUGUCGUCUAAGAUGAGCACCACUAGAUCUUCCAACGUGUCCUGAAUCUGGGGUAAAUUUUCCAAUUUUGAGCAACCACGGAGUGAAAGUUGCUUUAGGAACUUCAUAUCAGAAAGGUCAAAUGGAAAGAUUGUAAGGGAAGAACAGUGAGAGAGAUCUAAGUGACAGAGCCUCUUGAGAUUUUGAAAGUUUGAGGGUACACCUUCGAGUAUUGUCGACACUUCACAUUGUGAGUAUAUAGUAUUAUUACCCACUUCUUCUUCGUUAUAUCUGUCAAAACUAAUUGAGGAAAUUUCACUGGAAGUUGGGAAAAUACCUUUAGCAUUAUGGAAUUUAACAGUCCCUCCCAAAAGUAAACUUGAGAAAGUUGGACGUUGACCCUCCAGUUUCACAUGAAGGUAUCUGGGUUGACUGGUUGAAAACAUUUCAAGCUCCUCACAGUGAGAAAGAAUGAUCAAUCCUGGAGAUGUGGAUAAAAUCUUGUUGGGAAUAUUUACACUUUUGAGAUGAUAACAAUGAUCUAAACAUAAACAACUGAGCUUGCUGAGGAAUAUCGAAGAGUGAACUUUAAUCAACUUUUGACAAUAACUCAGAAUUAGUUCUUCAAUAUUCGGUGACAGAGAAAGGUCUGGUAUUCUAGUAAGUUUCAGAGAAUGACUCAGGUUGAGCCUUUUCAAGUUGGGUAAAUUCUGCCACAAAAAGUAAAUGAAUCAGGUAACAAUGAAAAACUAAAAUAAAGUUUUAUGCAAUUUUAUCUAUUUUUCUUCGGUAAACUAUGAGCUACAUCAUCUAUCGAGUUUAUAUUUUACAUAAAACCACUGUUAAAAAAAUCACACUGUUAACUAACAAAAUUAUGGUCACUAUAAAUUUUAUAGUUAUUAUAAAAAUUCACAAAAUUUAACGUGUUUUUGUUCUCUACCUAAAAUUACAUCCUAAUAAUUUGAACCUAAGCUUAUUAUGUAUUGAAAAACUUACUAUAGUAAUUUAUAAUCCAUGACAAUGUCGAAAUACUUUAUACUAUGCAUGUUAAAAUUUGAUAAAAUGUCGAAAUACUGACAAAAUAAAAAUGGUGUUUUCCGAGAGUUAAAAUUAAACUUUAGUUAAAAUAAGUCCAUCUUUACAUAUUUUAUAAUUUGUUGUAUAUUAUAUUGAAGUUGAUGUUAUAAUAAAAAAAUGACUUAAUUAAUCGAAAAAUGUGGAGAAAACACAAAGAAAUUGCAAAUGCUUGUAUAAUUUAUUUUUAUCUUUGAAAGUUUAAAAGACAAAGGAACAUAGAUAACUUGAAAAACCUGAUCUCCUUCCCAGAGUUGUUCAAGACGGCAGCCUGGCAUUUCGAGGAUCACUAGAUUUUGUGGGCAAAAGUUUGGAGGCCAAAAUCUUUGCGGGAAAUCUCUCCAAUAAAGAAACUUUAGAGUGUCUGGCAGACCUACGAGAGAUGAUUCAAGAGACACAUUUGAUAUGUAUUCAGUUGAGUAGAGUAAAAACGUCCAAAGAUCAUCCAACUCUUUACGAGACACAUCUGAUAUGUAUUUAGUUUUAUUUUGCUCGUAUCUAGUAAUAUACACUGUAUUGCAUCUGACCCCUGAAAGUAAAUCAAUGUAAUUAGAAGAAAAAAACAUGAAAUGUUGCAUUGCAGGAUGUUUGAUGACAGCUCAGUGGUUUGCAAUUUUUCACAAAGUAAAUUAAUGACAGGUCAGUAGUUAUAUACCUUAUUCUUUCUUAAAACCUCACAAAUUUCCUCAGCAUUAAACAAUCGGCUGCGUUUUCCAGGAUGCUGAGGACACUCUUUACGAACAAUUUCUUUACCCAUUUCUUCUAUUAGAUCGUGCAUCACAAUUCUACCAUCAAUGACAGAUAUUAGGCCCCUAUCUUUCAGAAUAUCCAUUCCAAUCUUAGAAGAGAAACCAAAGUCAUCAAGUCUUUCUGCUACCUCAAUCUCCUCGUGACCUCUAUAAAAGCAAGCUAUGUCAAGAAAUAUAUUCUUCUCCUCCUCCUCCAGCCCAUCAUAACUUAAUUUUAAUACAUUGAAAAUACCAAGAUGUUGGCCCUUUUUCAACUUUUGCAACUCACUCUCCCAUGCUUCUCUUGUUCUGCCAUAAAGCAAUGACCCCAAAAUCUGGAGAGCUAACGGAAUCCCUUUUGCAUAUCUCAACACCUUUUCUGACAGGUCCAUGUAAGAUUUUUCUGCUGAAGAUUUUUGUUUAAAAGCAUGUAAACUAAAAAGUUUAUGAGAAUCAUCAAAAUUCAACUCCUUAACCUCGUAGAUAUCAUCAGCUCCAGCAUUUCUAAGCACUUGUCUGUCUCUACUGGUCAUAAUGAUUCUACUGCCCUGCCCAAAACUACCACUCCCUCCUAUUAAUUUUUUAAGUAUAGCUGAAUCGGUAACAUCAUCAAGAAUGAGGAUAGCCUUUGUCCGUUUGAGCCUUUCAUUGUAAUAUGAUAAAUCAGGGGAUUUCUUUAUCUCUUCCUUUAGAAGCACAGACAGAUAUUUUCUUCUGAUACUGUCUAUUCCAUCUCUUUGUAUUUUUUCUUGAACGUCUAAAACAAGGCUGCUGGAAUCAAACUGCACUGCCAAUUUCUGAUAUAUUUGAUUACAAAUUGUAGUUUUUCCUAUUCCUCCCAUGCCACAAAUUCCUAUGAUCCGAACAUCCGUUGACUCAAGAUGCAACAAGGACUGAAUUCCUUCAAUAUUUUUUUCAAUGCCGAUGAUUCCUUGAUCAUAACUGGUGGAAUAACGAUUCAAUUUUCUCAAAAUAUCUUCCACAAUUUCUUCAACAAGUGCGUGUUCUGGCCUGGCAGAUGAUUUAGAAAAUAAAGUAUAAGUAUUCAAGCACAAAAGCUAAAGUAAACUAAAGAAAAAUUUUACAGUAACCGUUUGUGACUUCUGAUACUAGGGAGCAGACUUGUAGGUACAAAGUUAAACUAUAAGAUCAGAUAUGGUUCAGAUCCAUGACCGACUAAGAGAAAUGAAAAAAGAAACACUUGAUUUAUGGUGAGAUGAACACAAUUUUAGUAAAUGAAAAGAGAUCCUGAUUAUCUAACAAAUAUAAUGACCUGGUGACUUUUGAAUCCCAGCCUGCAAGUUUAGCAGCUUCAGUUAGAGCAUCCUUCCAUCCUUGCACUUUAUCGUGCUUAAGGUGCUGCUCAUGCUUUUCGAAUGCUUCAUUGUAUCUUUGUUCCUGCUUCCUAAUAGUUGAUGGAUCCACCUUGUAGAAAACAGGUAUGACAUCCCUUCCAAAUCUCUUCUUGCAUUCAAGUAUCUUAGUGAGUUCAUUCAAGCACCAAGUGGAAGAUGCAUAGUCUUGGGAGAAAACGAUGACAUAAAUCUUUGAUUCUUCUAUUGCAGAGAGGAGAGCAGGUGAAAUUUCUUCGCCCCUGUUUAAUCUGUAAUCAAUAUACGCUUCAAUGUUCUUCCUCUGCAGCGCUGCAUAAAGGUGACUAAUGAAGUUGUCACGUGUGUCUUCCCCUCUGAAGCUGAGAAACACAUCAUGCUUUGUUAGAGAAGUAGACACGGGGAAUGAUGAAGAACUUCCUGACAUUGGAAUCAAUUUUCUCUCCUUUCUCUGCAAAUCUCAGAUUCCUUUGUUUGUACCAUUUCUACCUGAAGAAGUGUUUAAAUUUUCUCAAAAUACCUUGCACAGCGUGUUCUGGUCAGACAUAAAGAAAAAGACAAAUAUUAAGUUAAUAGAAUAGUCAACAAUUUAAAAAAUAAGUAUGAAAUAUAGAUAUAUAUCAUUAUCACGUGUGGAAGCUACGUCGUCUUGUAUUGGAUUUUCUAAUCUGCCUUUUAUCUUGUCUCAUUCUUCUUUAUCUUUUUUCUCUCAUCUCUCUUGCUUACGAUUUCUUUGCCUUUAUUCAGAAAUUUUAUUUAUAAUAAACCUUCAAUAAUAUUUGUACUUUCUAGCAUAUAGAAUACUUAAUGGAUCCUUUUCUGAUUUUUCUUUUCUAAAGUGCAAUUGAUAUUUUAAAUGUUUUUCUAUUUAAUUUUCCUUUCUUAAUGACACAUAAAAUGGUUCAGUGCACAAUUAAUUACUCUCACCUUAGAUUUCAUUCAUCUCAUUCCAUUUCCACACUCAAAUCAUUCUCACAUUUGUUUCUACCUGUUUCACAAAGUUUUAGUUAAAAUAUGGAAAUUAAUGUUCAAGAACCCUACUUAAUAUUAAUAUUCAACAAUUUAAAAUAUUAAAAUGCAAAUUAAUCUUUCUUAAUAAUGUCAUUUUUAUGUAAAAAAUAAAAUGUAGUUUAGUCAUUUAUACUUAGAUGGAUAAAGAUGGUUUUAGAAAAAAAAAUGCAUUUUAUUUCAAAGGUUAUCUAAGCUCUGAACUCAUUUAUGAAUUAAUAAUAAUAAAUAAUAUGUAAUUGUAUUCCAAUACCAUAUAAUUUUUUUUAUUGGGUGCGUUUCUGAUGAAUUAAUUAAUGCACUCUAGGGACAAUGAUCGCUCUAGUAUUUGAUUUUUUUAUUUAUUUUAAUGUUGAAAUUAUAGCUAUUUAGUACAGAUACUAUUGACACCGACACAGAUACGACACAGACACAGAGAUACUUAAAAUCUCUAAAAUGUAAGAUACAGAGACAUUAAUCUAUAUAUUAUAUAAUUAUGAAUUAUAUAAAUUAACAAUAAAGACUUAUGUGCACAAGUAUUUUGGAGAUUAUUUUUUAAGCAGAAAUAUGUUUUUCAUGACUGUUUCACAAAGAUUUGUUUCUUAUUUUUAUAAUCAUAAUAACAAUUUAUACCAUAAAGUUUGAAUUUUAGAAAAUUAAUGUAUUUUUUCUUUUUAAAAUUCCGUUAGAAUCGUACUAAAAUUGUAAAAAAUCUAACAAAUACAUUUUGAAUUGGACAUUUCACAAAUACAUGUCCUACCAGUAUCAUACGAAUGUAAACAAAAUUCUUUCUUCAUAUGCCGCAUUCUUUUACUGUGAUAACUCAUUUCAACUCUCUCACAACUGAUUCGUAAUCUGUGGGAUGCAUUAAAGCCUUUUGCAGUUAAAUCAAUAGUAUAUGAUGAUGUGAAUGUUAUUUAUAUACUAAAUAUAAUCACAUAGUAACUUCAAAUUUGAUAAGGUACAACAUGUUACCAUAUCUCUUUUAAUUUCUUUUAUUUCAUUAUAUAUUUAGGUGUAUUUAAUUUCUUUUUAUUUCAUUGUGUAUUUAGGUGUAUUACGUAAAAUAUAUAAUUAAAAAGAAAGAAGAAUAAUGUUAUUUUUAAAUUUAAAGAAUGACAUAUAGAAAUAAACAAGCUAUUUUGAAAUUUUUAGAUUUUACAAAACAUUACAUUUUGAUUUUAAUAUUUAUAAAAUAUUUUUUAAUUUCAUAUUUAAAACACAACACUUAGUUGAGUGUGUUCCUUAGUUACUUACCAAAUAACAACAUACAUCUUAUCGGGUCUUUUUGCGACCCGACCCAAACUCAUCUCGAUCCUAGUAGGGUUCGCAUCAUCUUCAAUUGAGGAGUAGAUUUGUCAGGAGGAAAAUAAAUUGAUUUAUAAGAACAUGUGAAGUUGUUUAGAUUGAGGAAUAAUAGAUGGAUUUUGAUUAUGAUUUAUGGUAAGUUUAAAAAAAAUAGAUUUGUUUCUUUUAACAUUUUUUGUAUUAUAAUUAUUUGCUGGCUGAAUUGUUUUGAGUUAACAUGUUUUCUUGGGGUAUGAUAUUGUGAGGUUUUAUUACAUGCAGGUACGUGAAUAUUUUUUUUAUUCUAGUUGUAUAAAUCAGGAAAAAAUGUUUUUCACAAUAUAAUUAUAAUAACCGUUUAACAACCUAAAUAAUAAUAAAAUAUUAACUCAUAUUAUUUAAUUAAAUUAUUAAAUAAAAAGUAGUAAAACUGAUUGUAGGAUGGGAAUAUGAUUAUUUUUAACUGCUAGCUCCUCAUUAUUCUUUUAUAAUAAAAAACACACUAGUAGGUGUUGAAAAUCGUAAUAUAACAAACAAGUUUUGACACACGUAGGUUUGGCAAUUGUUUUAAUAGCUGAAAAUAGUAAAACAAUUUUUAAUUACCACAAACUGCAUCUUAAAUCAUAAAAAAUAGCAUUUUUUAGUUCAUAUAUAAUAACAUUUCCAUAAAUAAAUCUCCCGCCGCCAUUGAUAUUAAUCAUUAAUAAUUUUAGAUAAUAUUUUUUACUAUAAAACAUUUAAUUGAGAUUGAAUUUUUAAUUCACACUUUUUGGUCAAAGAAUAAUAUAUUUCAUUUUUUUAUUUAUUAAAUAUUUUGUAUAAUGCUGAGAAAAAAAAAUCUCACACACACACACACAUAUAUAUAUAUAUGAUCCCUAUGUCCUACAAGUACAAUAUAACAUCGUUAGUAUAAUGAAUAAAAAUAAUGAGUAUUCAAAGUCGUGUAUUUACGUAAAAGAAUAACAUGAUUUUUAAAAGAACUCACAUUAUCAGUUUAAAUUUUGACGAUAAAAUACAUUAAUUAUAUAUAUUUAUUCAAAAUUUCAAUUAUAUUAUGCAUUAAUGGUUUUAUGCUUUUAGAGGAAUCAGAGAAACUUAGAAAAGCUUAAUGAAACCCUAUGAAUAAAGGAGAUGUAAAAGAAAGAGAAAAAGGAAGUGAGAAAAGAUGAUAAUUAAUAAACACCCACUCUUCAUAACAUAGAGUCUUUAAACCUAUAUUCCCUCAAACAGCAUUUAUAAGUUAUUAUCACCCACAUGGAAUAAGGUGCCUCAAUGUGAACAAACCAAGAUCAGUAAGAAAUAUGAGGUUCAAAUAACGAAGCUGAGAAUUUUCUGGUUUUACAGCUCCAUGCACAAACCUAAUACAAUGAUAUGAUAUUCCAUAGGAUGGAGAAAAGUAUGAUAUGAAGAGGAUUUACCAAUUACCCUUUCGAAUGCAGCUCCUCAGGAUUCCAUCAUGCCUUCACUGCACAUGCAACCCAAAUAUGCUAAAGAAGUUAAUCAAACCCAAAUAUAAAGAAUUUCUAGAGAAUGCAACUCUGGGACAACAGAGUACCCCAUCUCAAGCUGAACAGAAACAUUAAACUAUAUCUAACAAUAACUUAGAAAUCUUUGUCAACAAUGAACGAAUCCAACCGUAAAAUGCCAUUGAAAAUGUAAAUAAAACAAAAUAAAUUAGAUAUGAGAAAUUCAUGAUAAAAUUUCAACACUUGUAAUGUAGAAGCAUUACGAUAAGCCAGUUUUGAUCCUCACCAAUGAAAGUCUAAUUAGCAGAAGAGGAAGAGACUAGUUGACUGGGUAGCUUUCUGCAAUGCCUAUUUUAAGGUUACGCUUCCGGCAAAAAUAUAAUAGAAGACUGCUCUCAUGUCAAAGUUUCUCAUACAUAGAACAACCCGCAAAAGAGAUUAAACAUUCCAAAAGAUGUCUCAACAGAAAUGAAAUGAGAUCCUAACAACUUGUUGGGAAAGUACUAUUUUGCCUUCAAUUCCAUUACUUCCUUUUGCCUUUAAGAGUGCAGUCAUAAUCAUCAAAAUACUUAGACUUUGUGAUAUGUCUUUUGGGCUUGCUAUUCAUCUUUUGUUGCCUCCUCUUGAGCCAUAACACUUUUGGCCUUCCUCUUCCUAUAUUCCCUUGUGUCUCUUGAAGACUGUGCAACAUUACUUCGACUGGAUUAUUCAAUGUGAACAGCACCACCAUAUUCAUCAUCUUUCUUUUUGGAAUAAAGAGGGCAUAUGCCGCAUUCUUUUACUCUGAUAUCGGGCCACCAAUGGCUGAUCUCAAAAGUGAAGCUGCGAGCAUCACAGAGCCUAAGGCUCAUGCCGCUUGCCCUUAGGGACUCCAAGUUAAAUUUCCACACAAAUGUGUGAUCUUUAUCAAGAAAUCUGCCUGCAUCCGUCAAGUUUAACACAUCAUUAUUUGGAAUGAUCUGUGUGCCAUCAUCAUCAGAUUCAAAUUUUAGGCUGUAACCAAAAGAACUAUAUCUACCUUUAAUAUCAUUCGUAUCUAACACUUCAAAAACCACGCACAAAGAGAAACCAGUGAGCCUAUUAUCGCUGCAAAAACUUAAAUCUUCAUUUAUAGUCACUGAAUGUCCCUUCCCACGAAAAUGGAACCAACCAGGAACUGCACUCCCUGGAUAACAGAAGAACACAGACCUAUAUGCAUCGUCGGUCAUCCUAAGCCUUGCAUCCUUCUCAAUGUUAGCACGACCACCUGAAUCCAGUUGUUGAGCAUUGGUGAAAUGAAAUUUGAAUACACCCUCUUUGGAAUUUGAGAGGUUCCGAACAAGAGAAUUUGACAUCACUUUUCUAAUGGAUGGGCAAUCCAAUGCCACGAGUUGUUUUAGAAAUGGUGGAAUCGGUGGGAUGCAUUCAAGCUUUUUGCAGUCGCUUAAAUCAAGCGAUUUCAAGCUCGAAAGAUGAGCAAUGCUCUCAGGAAGGUUCACGAUUCCGCUAUCACGCAGUGACAGUUCCAUUAAUGACGUCAAACGACCAAUGUGCCUUGGGAUUUCUGUUAAUUUGGCACACCCCGAACAAUCAAGUUUAGAGAGAAGCUUCAGAUUAACAAUGCAGUUUGGAAGUGACUCGAGAUCAGUGCAUUUGCGGAGCUCCAGGGAACGAAGAUUAACGAAAUUGGCAAAUGAGGAAGGCAGUUCUUUAACAGUCGUAGAUGUUAAGUUAAUGUGAGCAAAAGUAUGAGCCGACUCCGUGAUCUCUGGGAAGGUCCUCAGCCUUGAGCAACCACGCAAAUCAAGGUUCCUCAACUUCAAAUUGAAAAUGGUGCUUGGAAAAGUUUGAAGUGAAUUACAGUGGGCAAGGUCUAACUUGCAUAGUCUGGUGAGGCUUCCAAUGGAAGAUGGAAUAAUCUCAAGAUUGAAGCAACUGUGCAAACUCAGUUGUUGAAGCCCUACCAAACGGCACAAGGAUGAAGGUAGUGCCUGUAUGGCUGUGUCGUCUAAGAUGAGCACCGCUAGAUCUUCCAACGUGUCCUGAAUCUCGGGUAAAUUUUCCAGUUUUGAGCAACCACUGAGACAAAGUUGCUUUAGGAAUUUCAUAUCAGAAAGGUCAAACGGAAAGAUUGUAAGGGAAGAACAGUCAGAGAGAUCUAAGUAACAGAGGUUCUUGAGACUUUGAAAGUUUAAGGGCACACCUUCCAAGAGACUGUUGAACACCUCUGAGUCUUCUGAGUCUGUAGCAUUAUUAGCCACUUCUAUAUUAUAUCUGUCAAAAGUAAUUGACAAAAUUUCACUGCUUGGGGAAAUUUCACUGGAAGUUGGGAAAUUUAUCUCUUUCGUCAUAUCCAGUUCCUGACGCUCCAGUAUGACAUGAGGGAGAAAUUUAUCUUCAUGUUUACUGAUUGAAAACAUAUUAAGCUUCCGACAAUGGGAAAGAGUAAUCCAUCCUGGUGAUGUGGAUAAAAUGUUGCUCGGAAUAUUUACACUAUUCAGAUCAUCACAAUGAUCUAAACAUAAACAACUGAGUUUGCUGAGGAAUAUCGAAGAGUGAAUUUCAAUCAACUUUUUACAAUAACUCAGAAUUAUUUUUUCAAUAUUUGGUGACAUAGAAAGGUCUGGUAUUCUAGCAAGUUUCCAAGAACGUGUCAGGUCGAGCCUUUUCAAGUUGGGUAAAUUCUGCCACAAAAAGUAAAUGAAUCAGGUAACAAAUAAUAACUACUUUAUCUAUUUUUCUUCCUAUUUAAACUAUUAGCUACUACUAUUGAGUUUAUAUUUUACAUUACUUAAAAACCACUGUUAAAAAAGCCACACUGUGGACUAACAAAAUUAUAUUUUAAAAUAUUAUUAAAGAUAAAAUAUGAAGAUAGGGUAAUUAAAUUAAAUAUAAUUUUUAUUUUUCAGAAAUGAUGAAAAUUAUAAUUAAAUUAACUAAAUUAUAUAAAAUUCCAUUUUAUUUACAUAACUCCUUUUCAUAUUAAAAAACUAUAUAAGAUCUUGAAACUAUAAUUAAUAUCUUAAAAAUUUAAAUAAUAAUAAUUAUUUCUACUCAUCCUUAAUUUUUGUUGGUGAAAUCUUGAUUUUUGGGAUAAUAUCACUUAAACUUAAGAAAUAUUUGACAUUAAUGAACUCUAAACAAAUUUAUAUAAGAAAUCAAGACAUCACUUUCAAUCCGAAAUCUUAAACUAAUAGGUUUAUGGAUUUUCUUUAUAUGUUGUUCAUCUUACCAAUUUGAACCCAAUGCGAGACUUUCAACUCUAAGAGAUGAAGUGGUGUACUUUAUGCUUCUAGGACUUGUUAGAUAUUGAAACAUGUACCAUUGCUAAAAUGUUUGAAUGAAGGAGAAGUCAAAGUCUCUCUCCUUUAGAGAUAUUCGCUCAAGUGGCAAGAGGUUGAUUAAGCAAGAGAGAGAUCGUAUUAAUUCUCUCUUCUAUGCAAUUGUUGUCGUUCAAACAAUGUGGAAUCAUUCAAGCAAAGAAAUCUUCUUUUGGGUUAGGAAACAAGGUUUUUCAAGCGAGAUAAACUCGUCUAAAGAAUUUAACUCUAGUAGUGAAAUGUUGUUGCCAUGAUUUAGCCAAGUGUUUGUAUCUAUGAGGCUAAUGAUGAUGAUGACGAUGAUAAGAUGCAUGAAUGUGUAUACACAAGUGUAUGAUAUACCUCAUGUUAUAUAUUGUAUGUGAUUCAAUUGAUGACCAUUUAUUUUUAGGCCAUUUAUAUGUAUAUUUUGGCCCUUUUAUGAGUAUGUGACGAGAUAUACCUAAGAUUGUAUUAUGAUCCUAAUGAGUCGAAGUAUCAAACACAAAACUCAUUAUGGAAAAAAAAAGAUAUUUUGUGCAUCAGUUAUGAUAUGAUCACAACAAUUAAAGCAUGUGUGAACGGUUAAUAUUGUUCUUAAUAAGAAAACAAAUAAUAUUGUAUGUGACAUUAGAGAUGUCAAAUAGGUUUAGAAAAUUAUUAAGUUUAAUUAUCUUUUUAGUCUUUAUAUUAAUGACCAAAAGUCAAUUCAGAUUUUUAGAAAGUUCAAUAUGAUUUAAUUUUUUAAAAAACAAUUCAAUGUGAUUCCUUCUAGUAUAUUUCCCUUAUUAAAAUAUUUUUAUCUUAAUGAUUCUGCCACUGUUAAGUUAUAUGUGUUGUUAUCACAUUGAAUUGUUUUAAAAAAAUUUGGAACCACCACAUUAAAUUGUUUUAAAAAGUUAGUACUAAAUUGAACUUUUGAAAAUUGGGAGAAUGAAAUUAAAUUUUGUCUAUUAAUACAGGGACAAAAAAUAAUUGAAUCAAAUAUUUUACUAUUUUUGUGAUGUAUAUUUAUAUAUAAAUAAUUUUGAGAAUUUAGAGUUACAAUGUGUUAUAUCAUAUAUAUAUAAUUCUUUUUGGUAAUGUAUCCUGUAGUUGUAAGCAAGUAUGAUUAUAUUAAGUGGGGCGUUUCAAAUAGUGGAGACUACGCAUAUACAAAUAUCUCUUAUAAAGUAAGAAAACAAAACAAUCGUUACUCAAGAAGAUCAUGCAAUGCAUCACAGACAACAUGGGAGAUAUAUAUCAACAAUAAUAUGAGUAAAUAAUACAUUCAUGGGCCAUUAGACGAUAUGCCUAAAAAAAAUAUGCAAACUAUUAAAUUUAUAAUUAUUUUUAAUUAGAAACAUGCUGAGUAUGACUCUUAUGAUAUAUGUAUAACUGUGUGCUUCAAAUAAAAGAAAUUUCAAAUCGAAUAAUGUGGAGAAGGCACAAAGGAAUUGCAAAUGAAAACCUGUAGAUGUAUAAUACACAAAACAUGCUUGUCUAAUUUAUUUUUAUCUUUGAAAGUUUAGAACACAAAGGAACAUAGAUAACUUGAAAAACCUGAUCUCCUUCCCAGAGUUGUUCAAGAUCGCAGUAUGGCAUUUCGAGGAUCACUAGAUUUUGUGGGCAAAAGUUUGGAGGCCAGAAUCUUUGAAGGAAACCGUUCCAAUAAAGAAACUUUAGAGUGUCCGGCAGACCUACAAGAGAUGAUUCAAGAGACACUUUUGAAUUCAAUCUAGGCAUGUAGACCAUAAGCAUCAUAAGAUUGUCCAUCUUUUCGAAACUUUGUGCAUGUACUACAGCAUCUUUUACUUUGUUCGUAUGAUAUUGAUAUACACUGUAUUGCAUCUGACCCCUGAAAGUAAAUCAAUGUAAUUAGAAAAAAAAACAUGAAAUGUUGCAUUUCAGGAUGCUUAAUGACAGCUCAGUAGUUUUCUAUUUUUCACAAAGUAACAACAGCAUAUACCUUGUUCUUUCUUAAAACCUCACAAAUUUCCUCAUCAUUAAACAAUCGGCUGCGUUUUCCAGGAUGCUGAGGACACUCUUUACGAACAAUUUCUUUACCCAUUUCUUGUAUUAGAUCGUGCAUCACAAUUCUACCAUCAAAGACAGAGAUUAGACCCCUAUCUUUGAGAAUAUCCAUUCCAAUCUUAGAAGAGAAACCACAGUCAUCAAGUGUUUCUGCUACCACAGUCUCCUCUUGCCCUCUAUAAAAGCAAGCUAUGUCAAGAAAUAUAUUCUUCUCCUCCUCCUUGAGCCCAUAAUAACUUAAUUUUAAUACGUCGAAAGUUCCAAGAUCUUGGCCGUUUUCCAACUUUUGCAACUGACUCUCCCAUGCUUCUCUUGUUCUGCCAUAAAGCAAUGACCCCAAAAUCUGGAGAGCUAACGGAAUUCCUUUUGCAUAUCUCAACACCUUUACUGACAGGUCCAUGUAAGCAAUUCCUUCUGAAGAUUUUUGUUUAAAAGCAUGUAAACUAAAAAGUUUCAGAGAAUCAUAAAAAUUCAACUCCUUAACUUCGUAGAUAUCAUCAGCUCCAGCAUUCUUAAGCACUUGUCUGUCUCUACUGGUCAUAAUGAUUCUACUGCCCUGCCCAAAACUAUCACUCCCACCUAUUAAUUUUUGAAGUUGAGUUGAAUCGGUAACAUCAUCAAGAAUGAGGAGAACCUUUGUCCGUUUGAGCCUUUCAUUGUAAUAUGGUAAAUAAGAGGAUUUCUCUUCCUUUAGAAGCUCAGACUGAUAUUUUGUUCUGAUACCGUCUAUUCCAUCUCUUUGUAUUUUUUCUUGAACGUCUAAAACAAGGCUGCUGGAAUCAAACUGCAAUGCCAAUUUCUGAUAUAUUUGAUCACAAAUUGUAGUUUUUCCUAUUCCUCCCAUGCCACAAAUUCCUAUGAUCCGAACAUCCGUUGACUCAAGAUGCAACAAGGACUGAAUUCCUUCAAUAUUUUUUUCAAUGCCGAUGAUUCCUUGAUCAUAACUGGCGGAAUAACGAUUCAAUUUUCUCAAAAUAUCUUCCACAAUUUCUUCAACAAGUGCGUGUUCUGGCCUGGCAGAUGAUUUAGAAAAUAAAGUAUAAGUAUUCAAGCACAAAAGCUAAAGUAAACUAAAGAAAAAUUUUACAGUAACCGUUUGUGACUUCUGAUACUAGGGAGCAUACUUGUAGGUACAAAGUUAAGCUAUUGUGUGAUAUGGUUCAGAUCUAUGACCGACUAAUAGAAAUGAAAAAAGAAGCACUUGAUUUAUGGUGAGAUGAACACAAUUUUAGUAAAUGAAAAGAGAUCCUGAUUAUCUAAUAAAUAUAAUGACCUGGUGACUUUUGAAUCCCAGCCUGCAAGUCCAGCAGCUUCGGUGAGAGCAUCCUUCCAUCCUUGCACUGUGUCGUGCUUAAAGUGCUGCUCAUGCUCAUUGAAUGCUUCUUUGUAUCUUUCUUCCUGCUUCCUAAUAGUUGAUGGAUCCACCUUGUAGAAAACAGGUAUCACAUCCCUUCCAUAUCUCUUCUUGCAAUCAAGUAUCUUAGUGAGUUCAUCCAAGCACCAUGUGGAAGAUGCAUAGUUUUUGGAGAAAACGAUGACAUAAAUCUUUGAUUCUUCUAUUGCAGAGAGGAGUACAGGUGAAAUUUCUUGGCCCCUGAGUAAUCUGUAAUCAAUAUAUGCUUGAAUGUUCUUCCUUUGCAGCGCUGCAUAAAGGUGACUAAUGAAGUUGUCACGUGUGUCUUCCCCUCUGAAGCUGAGAAACACAUCAUGCUUUGUUAAAGAAGCAGACAUGGCCAAUGAUGAAGGGUUUCAAUGUUCUCUGCAACUCUCAGAUCCCUUUGUUUGUAAGCAACUUCCAUAUAUUCUAUUAGGAAGGAAAAUAUAUAUUUCUACCAUUCCUACCACAAAUUGAAAAAGCCUUUCAAUUUUCUCAAAAUAUCUUUCACAGCUGUGUUCUGUCAGAUACGAAACAUUGAGUCAAUGGAAGAGUCAACAAUUGGCAGAAUAUUAUGGUGUGUAGCUUUAUACCAUUCUUACAAUAUUUGAUUGGUUGAAUAUAUACAAUAUGACUAAUGAACUUUUUUCUUUUCCGUAUUCCACGAUAAUUCCCUAGGCACCCUAUUAUACACUUUCUUAUCAACGGAAACCAUGUCUGUCCUUUUAUAGUUUUAAUCCUAUAAUAUCUUUCCAUUAAUCAUCAUUAUCACUCUUCAACCUUCAUAUCAAGUGUAUUGAUUUCAUACUUCAUCAGCUAGACAUAAUAAAAUCUCAAUAAUCUUUUAUACUGUCAACAUUUAUAAAAAAUAUUUCCUUCAAUAAUAUUUGUACUUUCUAGCAUAUAGAAUACUUAAUGGAUUCUUCUGUGAUUUUUCUUUCCUAAAGUACAAUUGAUAUUUUAACAGAUGCCGAAAGGUCUUGAAUAUGAGGCUGUUUCGAAAUGAAAAUUGGGGUAAAGCAUUUUCAAGUUAACAAGUUUUGUUGGGUGAGUGAGUGAUCAGUGCUAGCAUUUUCAAUCUCAGUUAUAGAAUGUAAAGAUUUACACAUUUAUUUGCUGAUUAAUAAUUUAUUUAUUGAAUUAAAUGUUUUAACAGUGAGUAUGGAUUCUUGAAUGAAUGUAAUCAUGGUGUAGAAUGUACAUAGUACAUAUAGUGAGUUGGAUUGAAAUGUUGAACACGUUUUCCUCUGCAAAGAUUCAGGAUAUUUAUGAACUUGCUAUAAAUUGUUUUAACUUUUCUCUGCAACUCUCAGUCCCUUUGUUUCUACCAUUUUGUUUUUGAAAAGCCUUUCAAUUUUCUCAAAAUAUCUUUCACUGCUGUGUUCUGUCAGAUACGAAACAUUGAGUCAAUGGAAGAGUCAACAAUUCGUAGAAUAUUAUAUUAUGGUGUCAAUAUUUAAUAAAUUUAUUUAUUUCUUUAACAUAUUUUAGAAAAUAACCAGUAAACAUAAAACUUUUAGUAUGACUAAAAGAAUAAAGAUAGUGUAAGAAUAACAGGAAUAACAUUACUACAAAUAACAAUAUAUUAAUAUUAAUAUGUUUCUUAAUAAAUUUUACACCCACUGUCUAUUUAUAAAUUAAUAUAUUAUAAACAUCUAUUGAUUUUUUGUGGGUAGCUUAUUUCUGUAACAUUUUAAAUUAAUUUUUUAGAUUUUACAAAACAUUACAUUUUGAUUAUAAUAUUUAGGACUGUGAUGCAAUUUCUGCAAUGAAGGCUGGCAGACUAAGUUUCUCCAAGCCCAAUUAAUACUGGGUUGAAAAUUCUGAGAAGAGGGUGAGUAUGAUGCUGCGGUCAUGAUCUAUGUAUUAAAGUGUUAAGGCAUGGGUUUGGUUGACAGGACAAUACUGGUUUUUCAUUGCUACUACUUAAUAUGAUUCUUUCUUACUGCUAUAUGAAUUUGCUGUCAAAUAGCAGUAAAUAAAAGACUUCAAAUAAAGCAUGUGUUUAUCAUACAUGGACUAAUGCAGCAGUUUUAGUAGAAGGGGCUAAUAUGAUUUUAAUCUAGAACAAGAUGGCUAAACCCAAAGAUGGUGGGAAUAAUAUCCUCAAAUCAAUUGUUUUGGUUUUCAGUGUAAUGUCAUUUGUAAGUAUCAAAAUUUGUUUGUUAUCACAUUGGAAGGUAGUAUCUGUCAUGAAAUUUGUGGAAGACCUUUACCUAUGUUUGCUUUGGGUCUGUUUUACGCCCUCUCGAAUUAAGUAAAUUUUUAAUUGCCAUCAUGAAAUUAGGCUAAAUAUGUGUAGUUUUGAGCACUUUCUUUCUUCCAUUUCAAUUCAUAGUUUCAUACAUAUUCAAUAUCAUGUGGGAAUUAAGUUCUUGCUUUUAAGGUGAAUAACAGUUUGUAUUCUUGCAGAAAACUAUUUUCUAAUGCAUAUAAAUUUCAUUUUCUAUUUUCAGCAUUGGAUUAUGUUAUGUAAUUUUUCCUUUGUAUUAUACAGAGUAGGAUUUUAAUGUUUCUACUGAACAGUGCUAUCUUUUUUCGUCCAUAUUCUGAUUUUGUUCAAUUUUUUUCAGUAUGUGCCACAUGCAGAUCAGAUGUAAGGAAUUUUCUAAAUUUUUUUUCAAGCUUUCUUGUUUGCUUAAAGUUUUCUGUAAGUAUUUAACUGUCUUAAGUUGUUAAUGAGGACUAAGGACUGAAAAAGAGAAUUAGCCAUGACAUGGUGGCAUUAUCCUUCUUCAAAACCAUUAGUUUUUUUUCCUACAAAGAUACAUGUCAAGAAAGCAAACCAGGAACAAAAGUGAUGUUUAUGAUUGCUUUCUCUCUUGUUUACUUGCUUUCUUUUUGUUGGACAAUUGUCUUAAUUGCAUUCACACCUAACCUGCAGUAGUUUCAGUCCCUUUGGGGUUGUCAUAAUUGCAGCCUCAAGAGUGGUGGUGUAGUCCAACAUCAACCAGUGAUAUAGUUCAAAUAUAGCAUAUACAUGAAAGUCGUGUUGAUAAUCAAAGGUUGCUUCAUCUUAACUAAUAACAUGUAAAUGUCAUUUGAAUGGUUAAAAAGGAAUUCACCAGUGUAACACAAAAUGAAUGGAUUGCUUGGUUAUGUGUCAACUGUUGUACUUUUUUUGAGUUGCUUGAAAAUAAUUAAAAUUUGUUUUCAUCUAGAUCUUGGUUUUUUCCUAUGAUCAAAUCUCGAUUUAUUUCUGUGCAGAACUUUCUUGUGGACAUAAAAGGACCAGCUAUAGCAUUUUUACCGGUGCUUGCAUUUGAAGGAGGAACUAGAAGAAAUAUACCUAGGUUUGAGGUGUGUAUAAAUUAUUUUUGAUGUAUUUCGUGAUGUAGAUGUAAAAUAAUGCAAUACUUUGUUUUUAGUUUCAAUGUUACUCUUUAUCUGCAGGUUGGAAACAUAUCUUGAUGAAAUAUAGAAACAUUUUUAUUCAUAAUAUAUAUAUAAGGAUUACACAUUCAUAAUUAUUUCUUUCUGUCGUAGCAUUGUCUACCUCAAAUCACUGCAACUUUCUGUUGUUGGUAUAAAAAUACAAUAUUUUAAUCCCAGUUUUGAUAGCCUCUAUUCUUCAGUGGUUGAGAUAUUUUUUAUAAGAAUUUAGAAGUUCUGAGAUAUUUAUGAUAAGAAUUUCAAGUUCUUUGUUACUAGCAGUUUAAUGGUUAUAUCAUUUUUGUUCUCUGGAAAAUAUCUUAUACAAAAUCGGUACUUAGAUUUGGUAUUUAUAUUGUUCAUAUGUAGAAAUCUAAUACUAGCAAAUUUUGUCUAAUUUAAAAGCAAUUACAUUCUACUCUUUGGAAUAUGUUCUGGCCUGCUUUUAUGAAUUAUUUGAAAAUUUGUAAUUAUAAAAUUUAGUCUUUGAAAUUAUAAAUUUAAUAGAGAAGCAUCCAUACUAAACUUUUAUAUUAUAAAUUGUCAGUUUUAUAUUGAAAACAUAUCCCCUUUAGUAUAAGACUUAAAGGAGAUGUCUUUUGGUAUAAAAACUGAAAUAAAAAAUAUUUUAACUAUAUGGGUCAAAUGGAUGAUUAAACUUAUAAAAUGUACAAUUAAACUUAUAAAUUAUAAUAAACGAUACUUUAAUUUUAAACUAUAUUGAACUUUUAUUAAUGUUCUCGCUUUUCUUUAAAAGCUAUUGAACUCUAUCUAACAAUAACUUAAAAAUGAGAAAUUCAUGAUAAAAUUUCAACACUUGUAAUCUAGAAGUAUUACGAUAAGCCAGAAGAGGAAGAGACUAGUUGACUGGGUAGCUUUCGGCGUUCCUCUUCCUAUCUUCCCCUGUUUCUCCUGAAGAGUGUGCAACAUUGCUUCCACUGAAUUCUUCAAUGUCAUUUUCUGAUGCAGAAUAGUCAACAGCACCACCAUAUUUAUCAUCUUUCUUUUUCGUAUAAAGAGGGCAUAUGCCGCAUUCUUUUAUUCUGAUACCUGAUUUCAACUCUCUCUCAACUGAUUCGUAAUCUGGCCGAUUUGGCCGCAGAAAGGGAUCAUACGGACUGAUCUCAAAAGUGAAGCUGCGAGCAUCACACAGCCUAAGGCUCAUGCCGCUCGCCAUUAGGGACUCCAAGUUAAAUUUCCACACGAAUGUCCCUUCACCAUCCCAUUUGAAAUAGCUAUUUAACACACCCUUAUAUGGAAUGAUCUGUGUGCCAUCAUCAUAUUCAAAUUUUAGGCUGUAACGAAAAGAACCAUAUCCACCUUUAAUAUCUAACACUCCAAAAGCUACACACAAAGCGAAACCAGUGAGCCUAUCAUCGCUGCAGAAACUUAAAUCUUCAUUUAUAGUCACUGAAUGUCCCUUCCCACGAAAAUUGAACCAACCAGGAACUGCACUCCCUGGAAAACAGAACAACACACACCUAUAUGUAUCGUCGAUCAUCCUAAGCCUUGCAUCCUCCUCGAUGUUAGCACGAGCACCUGAAUCCAGUUGUUGAGCAUUGGUGAAAUGAUAUUUGAAGACACCCUCUUUGGAAUUUGACAAGUUUGGAACAAGAGAAUUUGACAUCACUCUUCUAAUGGAUGGGCAAUCCAAUGCCUCGAGUUGUUCUAGAAAUGGUGGAAUCGGUGGAAUGCAUUCAAGCUUUUUGCAGUCGCUUAAAUCAAGUGAUUUCAGGCUUGAAAGAUGAGCAAUGCUCUCAGGAAGGUUCACGAUUCCGCUAUCACGCAGUGACAGUUCCAUUAAUGACGUCAAGCGACCGAUGUGUCUUGGGAUUUCUGUUAAUUUGGCACACCCCGAACAAUCAAGUUUAGAGAGAAGCUUCAUAUUAACAAUGGAGUUUGGAAGUGACUCGAGAUAAGUGCACUCUUGGAGUUCCAGGGAUCGAAGAUUAACCAAAUUGCCAAAUGAGGAAGGCAGUUCUUUAACAGCCGUACAUGUCAAGUCAAUAUGAGCAAAAGUAUGAGCCGGCUUCAUGAUCUCUGGGAAGGUCCUCAGCCUUGAGCAACCACCCAAAUCAAGCUUCCUCAAUUUCAAAUUGAAAAUGGUGCUUGGAAAAGUUUGAAGUGAAUUACAGUAGGUAAGGUGUAACUUGCAUAGUCUGGUGAGGCUUCCAAUGGAAGAUGGAAUAAUCUCAAGAUUCAAGCAACUGUGCGAACUCAGUUGUUGAAGCCCUACCAAACGGCACAAGGAUGAAAACUUAUUUUAUUUUUGCUGUUCAUGCAUAACAUUAACAAAUAUUGACAUGAGAGAUUGUGUUUGUAGGCUUCUAAGCUCACCAACGUGUCCCGUUCUUGAUGCUUUAGGGAAGAAAAUUUCCUUUGAGAUUGCAAAAGGACUCAGGAGAAUUUAGAAGUUCUGAGAUAUUUAUGAUAAGAAUUCAAGUUCUUUGUUACUAGCAGUUUAAUGGUUAUAUCAUUUUUGUUCUCUGGAAAAUAUCUGAUACAAAAUUGGUACUUAGAUUUGGUAUUUAUAUUGUUCAUAUGUAGAAAUCUAAUACUAUAGCAAAUUUUAUCUAAUUUAGAAGCAAUUAUAUUCUACUCUUUGGAAUAUGUUCUGGCCUGCUUUUAUGAUUGUAAUUAUAAAUUUAAUAGAGGAGAUUACCAAACAUCCAUACUAAUUAAACUUUUAUAUUAUAAAUUUUUUCAGUUUUAUAUUGAAAACAUAUCCCUUUAGUAUAAGACUUAAAGGAGAUGUCUUUUGGUAUAAAAACUGAAAUAAAAAAUCUUUUAACUAUAUGGGUCAAAUGGAUGAUUAAACUUAUAAAUGUACAAUUAAACUUAUAAAUUGUAAUAAACGAUACUUUAAUUUUAAACUCUAUUGAACUUUUUUUAAUGUUCUCGCUUUUCUUUUAAAUGCAUUUCACUUGUGUGUUUUGUAUUCAGGCUGAUUUUAACUUUAUUCUCAAAUAUACAAAAUAAUUUUUGGUAAUUAUCUUGUGUCGAUCUUGACUUGUAGUAUCAAUGUGAAAUAUGUAAUAAUUACUUUUCUAUGAUUCAGAGGGAAAAUUAUUCCAACUAGACUUUUACAAAUAUAUUUCAAGUGGUAAUAUGAUUUUAAAAAAAAUAGGAUUCGCCACAAAAAAAAGUUACUGUUCCUAAUUGACAUGGUGCUGUCAAAAUUAUUUAAUUACAAUUUAGAUCUUCACUCUACAUAUAAUUAAUUAAUUACCAAUUAUUUAAAAGACUAGUAAAUUAUAAUUUUAAUCUCUCUACAACUUUCUAAAUUUAGUUAUGAUUCUCUCAAAAAAAUUUCCCUUAAAUAUUAAUUAUAAUUACCUUUAGACAGAAACAUUUCUAAUUUAAACAAGCAAAAAUAAGAAAAAAAAAUAGAUUACAAAAACUAAAUUUGAAUUUUUUUAUAUAACUCCAAAUAUAUUUUAUCCAUAAAUAAAUUCUAUUAAUAUUUCAUUUCUGUUUAAAUAGUUUAUUCAUAUUUGUAAUAUUAUUUUCAAAAAACAAUAAUUGUUUUUUGAAUAAAGGUUUACAAAUUCUAUAAUAAUGUAAAUGAGAAGAGGAGUGAGGGUAAAAAUAUGAGAACCUAUGUGAGGGAAUCUUGUGACAAUUUAGCUGGUGUUCAACUUGUGAGAAGUCUUUCAACUUGGUUUUCAAGUUUUAUAUUCAAUUUCUGUUCCUUCAAAUGUUUCUGAUUUUACAGCUCCUCAGGAUUUUACAGCUCCAUGCACAAACCUAAUACAAUGAUAUGAUAUUCAAUCAGCAUUAAUUAGCAUAAACAGGUACCUUGUUGUAAAACUGGGAAUAUGAGAUUCCAUAGGAUGGAGAAAAGUAUGAAGAGGAAUUACCAAUCACCAUUUACCAAUCAUAAUGCCUUCACUACAAAUGCAACCCAAAUAUGCUAAAGAAGUUAAUGAAACUAUAUAUGAAGAGUUUCAAGAAGAUGCAACUCUGGGACAACAGAGCAACCCAUCUCAUGCUGAACACAAACAUCAAACUACAUCUAACAAUAAUUCAGAAAUCUUAAUCAACAAUUGAGCGAACCCACUCCUAAAAUGCCAUUGAGAAUGUAAAUAAAUCAAAAUACAUUAAAAACGAGAAAUUCUUAAUAAAAAUUCAACGUGUUGAACCUUGUAAUUUAGAAGUAUUAACGAGAAGCCAGUUUAGAUCCUCACCAAUGAAAGACUAUUUUACAGGUUAGCUUCCACUGGAUUCUUCAAUGUGAACAGCACCACCAUAUUUAUCAUCUUUCUUUUUGGAAUAAAGAGGGCAUAUGCCGCAUUCUUUUAUUGUCACAACUGACCACCCAAAGUCAUAAAGAGGACUGAUCUCAAAAGUGAAGCUGCGAGCAUCACACAGCCUAGGGCUUAGGGAUUCUAAGUUAAAUUUCCAGACGAAUGUGUGAUCUUUAUCAACAAAACUGUAUUCACCAUUCCAUUUGAAAUGUCUGUUUAACCUAUCAUUAUUUGGAAUGAUAUGUGUGCCAUCAUCAUCAGAUUCAAAUUUUAGGCUGUAACCAAAAGAACCAUAUCUACCUUUAACAGAAUUCGUAUCUAACACUCCAAAAACCACACACAAAGCGAAACCAGUGAGCCUAUCAUCGCUGCAGAAACUUAAAUCUUCAUUUAUAGUCACUGAAUGUCCCUUCCCACGAAAAUGGAACCAACCAGGAACUGUACUCCCUGGAAAACAGAAGAACACAGACCUAUAUCUAUCAUCGGUCAUCCUAAGCCUUGCAUCCUCCUCAAUGUUAGCACGACCACCUGAAUCCAGUUGUUGAGCAUUGGUGAAACGAAAUUUGAAGACACCCUCUUUGGAAUUUGACAAGUUUUGAACAAGAGAAUUUGGCAUCACUCUUCUAAUGGAUGGGCAAUCCAAUGCCACGAGUUGUUUUAGAAAUGGUGGAAUCUGUGGGAUGCAUUCAAGCUUUUUGCAGUCGCUUAAAUCAAGCGAUUUCAAGCUUGAAAGAUGAGCAAUGCUCUCAGGAAGGUUCACGAUUCCGCUAUCACGCAGUGACAGUUUCACUAAUGACGUCAAGCGACCGAUGUGUCUUGGGAUUUUUGUUAAUUUGGCACACCCCGAACAAUCAAGUUUAGAGAGUAGCUUCAGACUAACAAUGGAGUUUGGAAGUGACUCGAGAUCAGUGCAUUUGCGGAGCUCCAGGGAUCGAAGAUUAACGAAAUUGGCAAAUGAGGAAGGCAGUACUUUAACAGCCGUAUAUGAUAAGUCAAUGCGAGCAAAAGUAGGAGCCCGCUCCGUGAUAUCUGGGAAGGUACUCAGGCUUGAGCAACCACACAAAUCAAGCUUGCUCAAUUUCAAAUUGAAAAUGCUGCUUGGAAAAGUCUGAAGUGAAUUACAGCGGGUGAGGUGUAACUUGCAUAGUCUGGUGAGGCUUCCAAUGGAAGAUGGAAUAAUCUGAAGAUUGAAGCAACUGCGCAAACUCAGUUCUUCAAGCCCUAUCAAACGGCACAAGGAUGAAGGUAGUGCCUGUAUGGCUGUGGCGUCUAAGAUGAGCACCGCUAGAUCUUCCAACGUGUCCUGAAUCUCGGGUAAAUUUUCCAAUUUUGAGCAACCACGGAGAGAAAGUUGAUUUAUGAAUUUCAUAUCAGAAAGGUCAAUUGGAAAGAUUGUAAGAGAAGAACAGUGAGAGAGAUCUAUGUGAGAGAGCUUCUUGCCACUAAAUUGUAAGGGCACACCUUCGUAGUCUUCUGAGUAUUCUGAGUCUGUAGCAUUAUUAGCAUUUAUCUCUUUCAUCAUAUCCGGUUCCUGACGCUCCAGUAUGACAUGAGGGAGAAAUUUAUCUUCAUGUUCACCCAAUGAAAACAUAUUAAGCUUCUCACAACCGGAAACACUAAUCCAUCCUGGUGAUGUGGAUAAAAUGUUGCUGGGAAUAUUUACACUUUUGAGAUUAGAACAAUGAUCUAAACAUAAACAACUGAGCUUGGUGAGGAAUAUCGAAGAGUGAACUUCAAUCAACUUUGAACAAUAACUCAGCUUUAUUUCUUCAAUAUUCGGUGACAGAGAAAGGUCUGGUAUUCUAGUAAGUUCCCAAGAUUUAACCAGGUCGAGCCUUUUCAAGUUGGGUAAAUUCUGCCAGAAAUAGUAAAUGAAUGAGGUAACAAAUAAAAACUACUUUAUCUAUUUUUCUUCCUAUUUAAACUAUUAGCUACUAUCUAUUGAGUUUAUAUUUUACAUUACUUAAAAACCACUGUUAAAAAAACCACACUGUGGACUAACAAAACUCUGCCUAUAAAUUUUAUAGUUAUUAUAAAAAAUCACAAAAUUUAACGUCUUUUUGUUCCCUACCUAAAAUUACAUCCUAAUCAUUUGAACCUAAACUUAUUAUGUAUUCAAAAACUUAUGAUAGUAAUUUAUAAUCGAUCACAAUGUCAAAAUACUUUAUAUUAUACAUGUAUCAACUCACAAAAUAAAUGGUGUUGUCUCAGAUUUAAAAUUAAACCUUAGUUAAAAAGUCCAUCUUUCCAUAAUUUAUUUUAUUAAAUACAUAAUUUGUAAUUUAUUGUAUAUUAUAUUCAAGUUUAUGUUAUGAUAAAAAAAGUAUCUAAGGCAUUUUUAAUUAAAUAAUAUAAAAUAAACAACAUGAACUCAAUUAAAUAAUAUAAAUUUUUUUGAAUACUCGAUGGAAUAAAAAAAUUAAUAAAACCCUCAAUUUGAAAAUAACCAAAUUUAUAAGAUACUUAAAACUUAAUUAAACCUACAAAUUUUCAUUAUAUGGAAUUAAAUAUUGUAAAGAUUUACCACAUAAGUUUCAUAAGUAGAAGGUUUAAACAUAAAAUUCUUCACGUUGGGAGUUUCUUUCCUCUAUCUUAUAAGUUUUCGUUGUUUCUUUAAUAUUUUUUAUAUGGCUUCUGUCAAUGUAAUUUUUUUUUUGGUUUUAAAAUAUUAUUAAAGAUAAAAUAUGAAGACAGGGUAAUUAAAUUAAAUAUAAUUUUUAUUUUUCAGAAAUGAUGAAAAUUAUAAUUAAAUUAACUAAAUUAUAUAAAAUUCCAUUUUAUUUACAUAACUCAUUUUCAUAUUAAAAAACUAUAUAAGAUCUUCCAAAGUAGAUAUAAUACAUUCACGGGCCAUUAGAUGAUAUGCCUAAAAAAAUAUGCAAACUAUUAAAUUUAUAAUUAUCUUUAAUUAGAAACAUGCUGAGUAUGACUCAAAUAAAAGAAAUUUCAAAUCGAAUAAUGUCGAGAAGGCACAAAGGAAUUGCAAAUGAAAACUUGUAUAUGUAUAAUACAGAAAACAUGCUUGUAUAAUUUAUUUUUAUCUUUGAAAGUUUAGAACACAAAGGAACAUAGAUAGCUUGAAAAACCUGAUCUCCUUCCCAGAGUUGUUCAAGAUGGCAGAAUGGCAUUUCGAGGGUCACUAGAUUUUGUGGGCAAAAGUUUGGAGGCCAAAAUCUUUGAGGGAAAUGUGUCCAAUAAAGAAUCUUUAGAGUGUCUGGCAUAUCCACAAGAGGUGAUUCAAAAGACACUUUUAAUUCCAAUCCCCACGUGUAGAGCCUAAGCACCCUAAGAUUGUUCAUCUUUUCGAAACUUUGUGCAUGUACUACAACUUCUUUUACUUUGAAAGUAGAUAGUGAUAUACACUCUAUUGAAGUAGAUAGUGAUAUACACUCUAUUGCAUCUGACCCCUGAAAGUAAAUCAUGAAAUGUUGCAUUGCAGGAUGUUUGAUGACAGCUCAGUGGUUUGCAAUUUUUCACAAAGUAAAUCCAUUCUCAAUUGAGUAACGACAUAAUACCUUGUUCUUUCUUAAAACCUCUCAAAUUUCCUCAGCAUUAAACAAUCGGCUGCGUUUUCCAGGAUGCUGAGGACACUCUUUACGAACAAUUUCUUUACCCAUUUCUUGUAUUAGAUCGUGCAUCACAAUUCUACCAUGAAAGACAGAUAUUAGGCCCCUAUCUUUGAGAAUAUCCAUUCCAAUCUUGGAAGAGAAACCACAGUCAGCAAGUAUUUCUGCUACCACAAUCUCUUGUGACCUAUAUAAAAGCAAGCUAUGUCAAGAAAUAUAUUCUUCUCCUCCUCCUCGAGCCCAUCAUAACUUAAUUUUAAUACAUUGAAAAUACCAAGAUGUUGGCCCUUUUCCAACUUUUGCAACUGACUCUCCCAUGCUUCUCUUGUUCUUCCAUAAAGCAAUGACCCCAAAAUCUGGAGAGCUAAUGGAAUCCCUUUUGCAUAUCUCAACACCUUUUCUGACAGUUCCCUGUAAGCAAUUUCUUCUGAAGAUUUUUGUUUAAAAGCAAGUAAACUAAAAAGUUUCUGAGAAUCAUCAAAAUUCAACUCCUUAACUUCGUAGAUAUCAUCAGCUCUAGCAUUCUUAAGCACUUGUUUGUCUCUACUGGUGAUAAUGAUUCUACUGCCCUGCCCAAAACUAUCACUCCCUCUUAUUAAUUUUUGAAGUUGAGCUGAAUCGGUAACAUCAGUUAGAAGUGGAACACGUUUGUAGAAGUGGAACACGUUAGUUGGUUAGUUGCCUUAAGAAGCGGAUCAUGUAUUUUUUCUUGAACGUCUAAAACAAGGCUGCUGGAAUCAAACUGCAAUUCCAAUUUGUGAUAUAUUUGAUCACAAAUUGUAGUUUUUCCUAUUCCUCCCAUGCCACAAAUGCCUAUGAUCCGAACAUCCGGUAAGUCAAGAUGCAACAAGGACUGAAUUCCUUCAAUAUUUUUUUCAAUGCCGAUGAUUCCUUGAUCAUAACUGAUGGAAUAACGAUUCAAUUUUCUCAAAAUAUCUCCCACAAUUCCUUCAACAAGUGUGUGUUCUGACCUGGCAGAUGAUUUAGAAAAUAAAGUAUAAGUAUUCAUGCACAAAAGCUAAAACAAAACUAAAGAAAAAUUCAGAGUCAAGAAGAGUGAACAUCAUUGAAUAGAUUCACAUAUUGAUUGUAGGACGUUAUCUUCGAAUAUUAGUGUGGUUGGUUUAGAAAUUGCAAAUCAAGAUCGCAGAAAUUCUACAGUAACCGGUAGUGACUUCUGAUACUAGGAAGCAGUCUUGUAGGUACAAAGUUAAGCUAUAAGAUGUGAUAUGGUUCAGAUCUAUGACCCACUACGAAAAAUGGAAAAAAGAAACACUUGAUUUAUGGUGAGAUGAACACAAUUUUAGUAAAUGAAAAGAGAUCCUGAUUAUCUAAUAAAUAUAAUGACCUGGUGACUUUUGAAUCCCAGCCUGAAAGUCCAGCAGCUUCGGUGAGAGCAUCCUUCCAUCCUUGCACUUUGUCGUGCUUAAAGUGCUGCUCAUGCUCAUCGAAUGCUUCUUUGUAUCUUUCUUCCUGCUUCCUAAUAGUUGACGGAUCCACCUUGUAGAAAACAGGUAUGACAUCCCUUCCAUAUCUCUUCUUGCAAUCAAGUAUCUUAGUGAGUUCAUUCAAGCACCAAGUGGAAGAUGCAUAGUUUUGGGAGAAAACGACGAUAUAAAUCUUCGAUUCUUCUAUUGCAGAGAGCAGUGCAGAUGAAAUUUCUUCGCCCCGGGGUAGUGUCUCAUCAAUAUAUGCUUCUAUGUUCUUCCUUUGCAGUGCUGGAUGAAGGUGGCUAAUGAAGUUGUCACGUGUGUCUUCCCCUCUGAAGCUGAGAAACACAUCAUGCUUUGUUAGAGAAGUGGACACGGGGAAUGAUGAAGAACUUCCUGUUUAAUUUCUUCGCCCCUGUUUAAUCUGUAAUCAAUAUAUGCUUCAAUGUUCUUCCUCUGCAGCGCUGCAUAAAGGUGACUAAUGAAGUUGUCACGUGUGUCUUCCCCUCUGAAGCUGAGAAACACAUCAUGCUUGGUUAGAGAAGCAGACAUGGCCAAUGAUGAAGGGUUUCAAUUUUCUCUGCAACUCUCAGAUCCCUUUGUUUGUAAGCAACUUGCAUAUAUUCUAUUUCUAUCACAAAUCAACUUUUGGAAAAGCCUUCAAUUCAAAAUAUGCUUCACAGCUUUAUAUUAACGUGCCUAGCUUUAUACCAUUCUUACGCAUUGGUAAAGAUUCUUCAAUAUCUUUACUCAAUUUGUUUCUUCAAUACCUUUUACACAUUCUUACGCAUUGGUAAAGAUUCUUCAAUAUCUUUACUCAAUUUGUUUCUUCAAUACCUUUUACAUAUAAAGAAUCGGAUUUGUUUAAUAUAUUUUAGAAAAUAACCAGUAAACAGAAAACUAGGUUAAUAUGACUAAAUGAAUAAAGAUAGUACUCAUAAAAAAUAUUUUAGAUUACAAGUGGUAUAACUAAAAUAAAAUAUUUUAUUUUUAAAAUAAAAUUUAUAAAUAAAUAAAAAAAUAUAAUUGUUUAGUUUUCGGUGUAAAACAAUAUUCAUUUUUAUAAAAAAAAAUCUUUUCUCUUUUAUUUUAUUUUUAUAUUUCUAAUUAGAGUAUUCUUGAGUUUGACAAUAGAAUCCUUUCUUUGGACUUUUGGAAUUAAAUAAAGAUGUUAAUUGAAAAAAAAAAUUGAAAUAGAAACUAAUUUAGAAACCAAAUUUCUUUUUAGUUUCUAAAAUGGUCUCUAAUUUAGUUACUAUUGCAACUAAUUGUUUUGGUUUCUAGAAAUUGGUUUCUAUUUCAUGAUUUUCUUGUAGUGUAUACUGAAGGUGUGCACCCCUAUGAAAUGUUUUUAUUUCUAGUUGAUGUGUGAUUUCCAAUAAUUAUAUAAAUUGAUUGUUAUAUGCAGUGUGAAGUUUAACCUUGAUUUUUACUUGAAAAAAUGGAUUUUAAUAUGAGGUAUGCAUGCUCUCAUACUCAAAUUCAAUAAGCGGAAUUUUCACAUGUCAAUAGAAUUUGAACCUGCAUAGUUUUGGGCACUCUCCACCUCAAAUUCGCUCAAUGUUUUUUCCUGCGUUUAAGCGAAAUUACAUGCAGAUUUUGGAGUACUUUCGGGCUUAAAAUUGCUCAAAGAAAUUUCCCUAUGGCAAGCAAAUUUAAGCUACAAUUGUUUGGGUGUUCUUUGCCUCAAAUUCGUUGCCUCAAAUUCGUUCAGCGAAGAUUUCUCUGGGCUUAAGCCCCAACUUCAUGGGCUCGAGCCAUUUUGACAACAUUUGUCAUCUUUGCUUAGAUAUCUUUUGGUUUGUUUUCUAUAGGUCAUGAAAUUGAAUUAAAUCUUUUGAAAUUUAACAUGUGUUUAAAAUAAGUAAAUCUAACAUUUAUAAUCAUGCAACAUGUGUUUAAUUUAUAAAAAAAAUAUAAAACAAAUACUCAUUAUAUAUUCAAUUGAUAUGUAAAAUUUUAAAUAUUAUGUGAUUAUUGUUGAUAUUUUGUAACGGUUUUAAAAAUAUAAACUUCUAUAUGAUUGAAUGAUAUAUUAUCGAUACAUAGUAAUUUCAAGUAAGGAAAUACUUUGUUAAGGAUAGUUAGGAUGUGUCUUGAUUAGUAAUACAUUUAGAAUAAGAUAUUUGACUCUAUUCACAUAUUAAGGUGGUGACAGUCAAAUGAGAUUUAUAUGAUUUGAUCUACAAUAUAAAAAAUCAUAAUCUAACAUGCCAUAUGAAUUAACCUUGUCAUAUUAGGUGAUUCUAUUAUGAUAUUCUUAUUCGCAUAGAUGUGUGAAUUUCACAAUGGGGUAUUAUAACAUGUGCAAAUUUUUUAGUCUAAAUCAAUGUACGAUUCUUUCAGAAAUAGGGUCAAGUGUACAUGUGGAUCUAAUUAGAUUUUUGACAUGAGUAAUAUGGAACACAAGUCAUUUAGAGACACUUAAUUGUUUAAUAUAUUAGGAAUGAAUGAAGUGUGAUUAUUCAUAUGAUUAUGAUUGAAUGAUUCAAAUAUAAAUUUUAAAAAUCAUUAACUUAGCCUAAUUUCUUGUUAGUAUCAUUUUUUUGUUAGUAUCGUUUUUUUUUUAGAUUUGUUAUGAUCGUGAGUUACAUGUGAACAUAUGAUGUUGUAUGUUAUAGGCCUCAAAAUUGAAAAUGAGAGAGUUUUUUCUUUUAAUUCUUUUGAUGUUUUAUUUUGAUGUAUAUAUUUGAUUAUGAUAUAAUAAUAUUACAAUGUAAAUGUUAUUUAUAUACUAUCACAUGGUAAAUUAAAAUUUAAUAAGGUAGUUAAGGAUGUUAUAAUUAUUCUUUUAAUUUAUUUUAUUUCACUGUAUAUUUAGGUGUAUUACGUAAAAUGUAUAGUUAAAAAAAAUAAUGUUAUUUUGAAAUUUAAGCUUUUGUUAAAAUUAUACCAUUUGAAAAGGAACACAGAACAAUCUUGACAAUUAUACUGACUUAGUACUUAUUUUAAUUUAUUAUAUUCAUGAGUAUUAUUUUUUUCUUAAACAUAAAUAUUGGAUAAAAAAUAUAAAUAACAUUUAUUUAUUUCAAAUUUAAAAAUCUUUAAAAUAAAUAUAAAUAAUAUUUUUAAUCAAGAUGUGUUUUUUAACAAUUUUUUUUAAUUUAAAAAUAAUUAAUUCGGACGAUGAUUAAAGAAAUAUUAACAAAUUAUUUCUGCGAUUAUAAUAAACCUUCAAUAAUUUUUGCACUUUCUAGCAUAUAGAAUAUGGAUCCUUUUGUGAUUUUUCUUUUCUAAAGUACAAUUGAUAUUUUAAAUGUUUUUCUAUUUAAUUUUCCUUUCUUAAUGCACAUAAAAAUUUCAGUGCACAAUUAUUACUCACCUUAAUUCAAAAUGGAAAUUAAAAUUCAAGAACCCUACUUAUAUAUUAAUAUUCAACGAUUUAAAAUAUUAGUAUGCAAAUUAAUCUUUCUUAAUAAUAUUUGUAACAAUUUUUAAUAAUUCAAUGUGAAAUAUGUAAUAAUUACUUUUCUAUGAUUCAGAGGGAAAAUUAUUCCAACUAGACUUUUACAAAUAUAUUUCAAGUGGUAAUAUGAUUUUAAACAAAAAUAGUAUUCUCCACAAAAAUAAAUAGUUACUGUUCCUAAUUAAACAAGUCACAUUCUUGAACAAAAUAUCAAAUAACAAGGAAUUAGACUAUGAAAUGAUGACCAAUUAUAUUAAACAACAUAACAUACAUUUCUCAAUGUACACAAGGUAUAAAUAAUACAAUAUCAUCCAAAACCUGUGUUCACUAUGUAAAUAAACCAUUUUUUUUGCCAUUACCUCUUUCAUGAUGAUGAUUUGUUUACUAGGGAUUGCAAUGAUAGGUCAUGAUCAAAACUUAGGCCUAAGACUAAAAAUAGAAUGAAAUGAGCAUGAAAAUAAAGAUAACUUUUGAGUGAGACACAUUCUUCCUUACAAGCAGCAAGUUCUUCCAGGUUAUCUUCUCUUCCUUCAACCGUAGCUGUGCAACCGCCUGUUGUUCAUUGCCACCAAUAUCUCUAGUGCCAAAACUAUGUUUUCCAAAAUUAGAGUUAUAUGGCUUUAUCUGUGAAGUCUUACCAGCCAUAAUGUUUUAUUUUACUGUUUUGUUGUAAUCAUGCCAAUAGAUAAAUCGUGGAUUUGUAAACCACGAAACACCAUUGAGUAUGCAAAUGGGUUGAAUGUGUUUUUGGAUAUUGCAUUUCAACAUGCUAAUGGUCCUGUAAUUAAGUGUCCAUGUGCAAAGUGUGGUUUCAAAAAGUGACAAACAAGGGAUGUAAUCCAAGAACACUUAACAUUUACAACUUUCCCUCAGAACUACAAAACUUGGUAUUUGCACGGUGAAAGACCAAGUGUAAUUGAGCCUAUGGUCACUACAAGUGUGCAUGUCAUUGAAGAUUUAUUUGAAUCUCAAAAUACAAUGGAAGACAUGUUGAAUGAUGCAUUCGAGUUUGCGGGACAUGAUGAGGAUACUGAAGUUGAUGGUUUGCAAACUAAUAUGGUGGGUGAUGAAGGAAUAUGAACUUUGAUGAAUUGAUGAGGGACAAUAAUGAACCCUUAUAUGAAGGUUGUACAAAGCAUUCGAAGUUAUCAUUCAUGUUGAAGUUGUACCAUAUCAAAUGCAUGAGUAGAAUGAGUGACAAAGCAAUGACCAUGAUUCUAGACUUGCUAAUGAACACAUUUGAACAUGCUAAGUUUCCUAACUUGUUUUAUGAGGCGAAGACUGUGAUUACCAAACUUGGACUUAAUUAUGUCAAAAUACCAGCUUGCCCAAAAGACUGAAUGCUAUAUUGGGGCGAAGACAAUGAAGGCUUAGAAGAAUGUAAACGGUUCAAAACGUCUAAGUGCAAAAAAAAAAAAAGAUAAGAAGCAAUUGCAUUACUUUCCAUUAAAACUGUGAUUGCAAAGAUUGUUUAUGAGUUCUAAGAUGAUUGAGUCUAUGACAAGGCAUGCAUCAAAGGAUAAUCAAGAUGGAUUGAUGAGGCAUCCUAGAGAUUCUGAGGCUUGCAAAUCAUUUUAUUGCAUCCAGAAUUUGUAAAUGACCAUUGAAAUGUACGAUUAGACUUAGCUGCUUAUGGCUUUAAUCCUUAUGAAAACAUGAGUAAAAACCAUAGUAUAUGACGAGUGGUUAUCAUCCCAACAAUCACCCUCCUUGGGAGUUAUGAAGCAAACAUCUUUUAUCCUCUACAUGAUAAUUUCUGGAAAACAAAUGGUAGAAAAUGACAUUGAUGUUUAUUUAAAACCACUUAUAAGCAAAUUGAAGGAGUUAAUAGUAUGAUCAUGUAAUUAUUAUUUAUAUACUAAAUAUUACGACAUAUAGUAAUUUAAAAUUUGAUAAGGUAGAUGAGGAUAUUAAAAUAUCUCUUUUAAUUUAUUUUAUUUUAUUGUAUAUUUAGGUGUAUUAUGUAAAAUAUAUAAUUAAAAAAAAUAAUGUUAUUUUAAAAUUUAAAGAAUCACGUAUAGAAAGAAACAUAUAACAAUCUUGACAAUUAUAUUCUGACUUAGAGAUACUUAUCUUAAUUUAUUAUAUUCAUGAGUAUUAUUUUUUUCUUAAACAUAGAUAUUGGAUAAAAAAUAUUAAUAAUAUUUAUUAUUUAAAUUUUAGAAAUAUUUAAAAUUAAAAUUAAAAUUAAAUAAUAUUUUUAAUUAAAAUAUGAAAAAAAUUCCUUAACAAUUUUUUUAAUUUCAAAAUAAUUAAUUCAGAGGAUGAUUGAAAAAAUAUUAACAAAUCAUUUCUGCGUUUAUAAUAAACCUUCAAUAAUAUUUGUACUUUCUAUCAUAUAGAAUACUUAAUGGAUCCUUUUGUGAUUUUUCUUUUCUAAAGUACAGUUGAUAUUUUAAAUGUUUUUCUAUUUAAUUUUCAUUUCUCAAUGACAAAUAAAAUGGUUCAGUGCACAAUUAAUUAUUCUCACCUUAGAUUUCAUUCAUCUCAUUCCAUUUCCACACUCAAAUCAUUCUCACAUUUUUUUCUACCUAUUUCACAAAGUUUUUGUUAAAAUAUGGAAAUUAAAGUUCAAGAACCCUACUUAUAUUUCAUAUUCAACAAUUUAAAAUAUUAAUAUGCAAAUUAAUAUUUCUUAAUAAUGUUAUUUUUAUGUAAAAAUUAAAAUGUAGUUUAGUCAUUCAUACUUAGAUGGAUAAAAAUGGUUUUAGAAAGAAAAAAAUAUGCAUUUUUUUGAAAGGUUAUCUAAACUCUAAACUCAUUGAUGAAUUAAUAAUAAUAAAUAAUAUGGAAUUCUAUACGAAUAGCAUAUAAAUGUUUUCUUGUUGAAACUGAUAAUUAAUUCAGUCUAGGGACAAUUAUCGCGGUAUUUGUUCUUUUAUUUUUAAUGUUUAAACAAUUAUAAAAUUCUGUUUUUAGAUAUUAAAAUGAUAGUUUUCAUUUACAGAUUAAAAUAUUACUUGUUUCUUUUAAGAUUUUUUGUAUUAUAAUUAUUUGUUGUCUGAAUUGUUUUGAUUUAACAUGUUGUUUUCUUGGGCUAUGAUAUUGUGAGGUUUUAUUACAUGCAGGUACGUGAAUAUUUUUUUUAUCCUAGUUGUAUAAAUCAGGAAAAUUGUUUUUCACAUUAUAAUAACCGUUUAACAACUCUAAAUAAUAAUAAAAUAUUAACUCAUAUUGUUUAAUUAAAGUAUAAAUUAAAUUAUUAAAUAAAAAAGUAGUAAAACUGGUUGCAGGAUGGGAAUAUGAUUAUUUUUAACUGCUAGCUCCUGAUUAUUCUUUUCUAAUAAAAAAAACACCAAUAGCAACAAAACAAGUUUUGACACACGUAGGUUUGGCAAUUGUUUUAAUAGCUGAAAAUAGUACAACAAUUUUUAAUUACCACAAACUGCAUCUUAAAUCAUAAAAAAUUAGCAUUUUGUUAGUUCAUAUAUAAUAAAAUUUCCAUAAAACAGCCAAUUGUAUUAAUUAUUAAUAAUGUAUUUACAAUUUUUUUAGAUAAUUUUUUUACUAUAAAGACAUUUAUUUGAGAUUGAAAUUGUAAUUAACACUUUUUGGUCAAAGAAUAAUAUAUUUCACUUGAUUUUUUGUAUUAAAUAUUUUGUAUAGCGCUGAGACAAAAAAAAAUCUCAUAUAAAUCCCUAUGUGCUACAAGUACAAUAUAACAUCCUUAAUGUAAGCAAUAAAAAUGAUGAAUACUCAAAGUCGUGUAAUUACGCAAAAGAAUCAAGUGAUUUUUAAAAGAACUCACAUGAUCAGUUUAAAUUUUGACGAUAAAAUACAUUAAUUAUAUAUAUUUAUUCAAAAUUUCAAUUAUAUUAUGCAUUAAUGGUUUUAUGCUUUUAGAGGAAUCAGAGAAACUUAGAAAAGCUCCUAAAAACUAAUGUAACCCUAUGAAUAGAAGAGAGCUAAAAGAAAGAGAAAAUGGAAGUGAGAAAAGAUGAUAAUUAAUAAACACGCUCUCUUCAUAACAUAGAGUCUUUAAACCUAUAUUCCCUCAAACAAUUAUAAAGAAUUAACAAUCACACUUUUAUAAGUCAUCACCCACAUGAAACAAAACAAGGUGCCUCAAUAUGAAUAAACCAAGAUUAAUAAGAAAUAUGAGGUUUCACUAACCAAGCUCAGAAUUUUCUGCUUUUAUAGCUCCAUGCACAAACCUAAUACAAUGAUAUGAUAUUCACUGCAAAUGCAACCCAAAUAUGCUAAAGAAGUUAAUGAAACCCAAAUAUAAAGAAUUUGAAGAGAAUGCAACUCUGGGACAACAGAGCACACCAUCUCAUGCUGAACAGAAACAUCAAACUAUAUCUAACAAUAACUAUACCUAUGUUUGCUUUGGGUCUGUUUUUAGUUUCAAUGUUACUCUUUAUCUGCAGGUUGGGAACAUAUCUUGAUGAAAUAUAGAAACAUUUUUAUUCAUAAUAUAUAUAAGGAUUACACAUUCAUAAUUAUUUCUUUCUGUCGUAGCAUUGUCUACCUCAAAUCACUGCAACUUUCUGUUGUUGGUAUUUGCAUAUCACGAUGGUUAUUGAGAAAUUUAGGAGUUUGCUGUUGUGUACCAGAAGUAAAAUAGAAGGUUCAUUUUUUGGUCAUCAUCAAUUAUUAAUGUAAAUAGAUAUAGGUGAAGGAGAUCAGUAUUAUGCAUUGUAUCAUGGACCAUUAGAAGACUAGGGUCACCAAUUGGAGGCAUUGGUAACUUUGGCUAGUAAAACUAAAACCAAAGUCCAUUUUUACAAAGCCUUGGUCUAAUUCACCUUAUAGCUGUACUUUUUCCUCCAUUUUAAUAAUAUUAAGUUUUCAUUUUCUAUGCAUAAUCUUGGGUAAUUUUCUUUUUAUAUCAAUGCUUGAAGUGUCAAAUUGUUACAAGCUGGAUUAUUAAGAAAGAAAAGAGUGCAUUCUGGAUGCUCGAAAGGGAGUGUUUCCUAGAAAAAAAAUGUGAUUUCAGGGUGUCCAGGCUCAGGUAGCAAUGGUAGGAGUUCCACAUUGAAAUGGAUGAACUACUUGAUUUAGUACUUUGGGACUCUCUCACCUAAUGGACUAGUAUUUUGGGUUAGCUUCUCUCCCCUUAAUGCUUAAGUCCUAAAAAACAGUUUUUCUGUUUCUAUUUAUCUUUUAGGGUGUGAUUAGGACCAUGAAGCAGUGGGUGUUUUUUCCAUUAAUGAACUUUGCCACUGCCACAGAUCACCUAGGUUAACCUAAUUAAGUCUUCUGAAUUGUAUUUUGUAAUUAAUUCUUGUAAAACAUGGAGUGUAAAAUUCAUGUACAUUUUUCUUUUCCUCUUUUGAUUUGGAUGUCAAACUAGCAACUUCAUGUUUUGUCUGGUUGGUCUAUCACAUUUAUGUAGGUUGUAAUCUAUUUUGCCUAAUGCAUCAGUUGCAGAUAGGUACUAAAUUAUCUUAGUUCGGAUACACCUUGCCAAUUAGAUUAAGAUCAAGAAUUUAAAGUGAAUGGUUCACUUCUGAGUUCUUAAAUGAGAUAAAAUGUUCAGAGAUACUAAAUCAUCGCCUUCAUUUGAAAAUUGGCGUGCCUAUUAUGCUUUUGAGAAAUAUUGAUCAAACCAACGGUCUUUGUAAUGGAACAAGGUUGCAAGUUAUUGAUUUGAAGAAAAUGUUAUUUGUGCAAUAGUUCUAACAGGAACAAAUAUUGGUGAUAAAAUCUUCAUUUCAAGAAUGAAUUUGAUCCCUUUAGAUGUAGGUAUGCCAUUCAAAUUCCAGAGAAGACAAUUUCCAAUAGCUUUAUGUUUUGCAAUGACAAUUAAGAAAAGCCAAGGUCAAUUAUUGACCAAAGUUGGUUUAUAUUUUUCACAUCCAAUUUUCACACAUCGAUAGUUGUAUGUAGCUAUUUAUAGAGUUCGAAAGAAAAAAGAUUUAAAAAUUCUAACUCUUGAUGAAGAUGGAAUGCAACAAACAAGAAAAAGAAAAUGUUUACACUGAAAUUUUUGACAAUAUUUGAAAACAAUAGAAUUAUAUGAUAAACUUGGAAUGGCUAAUUCUCCCUGCAACCAAUAUUUUUGAACCUGCAACUUUUAAAUUUUUGAAAAUGCUCUUUAUUCCAGAAAUGAAAAUAAUACAUUACAAAAAAAAUAGAUCCAAAAAAGAUUAUUGUGUUUUGGUAAUAAAAAUCGGAAAACAAAAAUCAAAAGCCCAUUAUGAAUAAGAAAAUUCGUAAUACAAAAAAUUUGGUCUUAAAAACAAAAUCUGAAAACAUAUUCCAGAAAGAAAAUCCGAAAUGUAUUUUUAUAUAUAACCCAUUUUUUCAAGGGAGUUUCGUCUUUUCUAUUGUAAAAGGGGUUGGAAUUUGCUCCCUUGGAAUUAUAGUUUCUUAUGUGUGAUGUAGUAACAGUUGCCUUAUUUAAAAUGUUACUAAAUAACAUAUAAUUUAUAUCUGUUAUUUUUAUUCUGUUAUGACUUUAUAUAUUUGUCACAACAUGAAUGAGGCACAAACCCAUCUCAUGUUAACGAAGUUGAGAAUUUUCUGAUUUUACAGGUCCAUGCAAAAAUCUAAUAUAAUGAUAUGAUAUUCAAUAUCAAGAGGUACUUGUCGUAAAACGGGGAAUAUGAGAGACUCCAUAGAAUGAAGAAAAAGUAUAAAGAGGAUUUACAAAUUAACCUUUCAAAUGCAGCUCCUCAGAAUUUCAUAAUGCCUUCACUGCAAAUGCAACCCAAAUAUGCUAAAGAAGUUAAUCAAACAAUACAUGAGGAGUUUCAAGAAAAUGCAACUCUGGAACAACAGAGCAACCCAUCUCAUGCUGAACAGAAACAUCAAACUAUAUCUAACUUAGAAAUCUUUGUCAACAAUUGAACGAACCCACUCCUUAAAUACCAUUGAAAAUGUAAAUAAAACAAAAUAAAUUAAAAACGAGAAAUUCAUAAUAAAAAUUAAACGUGUUGAACCCUGUAAUUUAGAAGUAUUAACGAUAAGGCAGUUUAGAUCCUCACCAAUGAAAGAGACUAGCUGACUAGGUAGCUUUCGGCCUUCCUCUUCCUAUCUUCCCUUGUUUCUCUUGAAGACUCUGCAAUAUUGCUUCCAUUGGAUUGUUCAAAGUCAACAGCACCACCAUAUUUAUCAUCUUUCUUUUUCGUAUAAAGAGGGCAUAUGCCGCAUUCCUUUAUUGUGAUACCUGAUUUCAACCGAAAGUGAUAAUCACACGGACUGAUAAGUGAAGCUGCGAGCAUCACAGAUUCUAAGGCUCAUGCCGCUCGCCCUUAGGAACUCCAAGUUAAAUUUCCACACGAAUGUGUGAUCUUGAUCAACACAUCUCUCUUCACCAUUCGAAAUAGCUGUUUAACACAUCUAUCAUCGCUGCAGAAACUUAAAUCUUCAUUUAUAGUCACUGAAUGUCCCUUCCCACGAAAAUGGAACCAACCAGGAACUGCAGUCCCUGGAAAACAGAAGAACACAGACCUAUAUCUAUCGUCGGUCAUCCUAAGCCUUGCAUCCUCCUCAAUGUUAGCACGACCACCUGAAUCCAGUUGCUGAGCAUUGGUGAAAUGAAAUUUGAAUACACCCUCUUUGGAAUUUGAGAGGUUUCGAACAAGAGAAUUUGGCAUCACUCUUCUAAUGGAUGGGCAAUCCAAUGCCACGAGUUGCUUUAGAAAUGGUGGAAUCUGUGGGAUGCAUUCAAGCUUUUUGCAGUCGCUUAAAUCAAGCGAUUUCAAGCUUGAAAGAUGAGCAAUGCUCUCAGGAAGGUUCACGAUUCCGCUAUCACGCAGUGAUAGUUCCAUUAAUAACGUCAAACGACCAAUGUGUCUUGGGAUUUCUGUUAAUUUGGAGCACCCCGAACAAUUUAGAGAGAAGCUUCAGAUUAACAAUGGAGUUUGAAAGUGACUCGAUAUCAGUGUAUUUCUGAAGCUCCAAGGAUCGAAGAUUAACGAAAUUGCAAAAUGAGGAAGGCAACUGCGCAAACUCAGUUGUUGAAGCCCUACCAAACGGCACAAGGAUGAAGGUAGUGCCUGUAUGGCUGUGGCGUCUAAGAUGAGCACCGCUAGAUCUUCCAACGUGUCCUGAAUCUGGGGUAAAUUUUCCAAUUUUGAGCAACCACGGAGAGAAAGUUGCUUUAGGAAUUUCAUAUCAGAAAGGUCAAAUGGAAAGAUUGUAAGGGAAGAACAGUAAGAGAGAUCUAAAUGACAGAGCUUCUUGCAACUAAAGUGUAAGGGCACACCUUUCAUGAAUUUUGUCAACACUUCUAAGUAUAUAGUAUUAUUAGCCACUUCUUCUUCUUCAUUAUAUCUGUCAAAAGUAAUUGAGGAAGUUGGGAAAAUAUGACCACUGUAUGCACGAGGUUCACCACGCCGUCCUGCACCAUGCCGUUCUGAGAAAUUUAUCUCUUUGAUCAUAUCCGGUUUCUGGCGAUGGAAUCUUGAGAAAGUUUGACGUUGACGCUCCACGCUCCAGUAUCACAUGAGGGAAUCUUGAGAAAUUUCCACGUUGAUGCCCCAGUUUCUGAUGUGGGUAUCUUGUGACGCUCCAGUUUCACAUGACGAAAUCUGGGUUCACUGGUUGAAAACAUAUUAAGCUUCCCACAACAGGAAAUAUUAAUCCAUCCUUGUAAUGUGGAUAAAAUGUUGCUGGGAAUAUUUAUACUAUUCAGAUCAUAACAAUUAUCUAAACAUAAAUAACUGAGCUUGCUGAGUAAUAUCGAAGAGUGAACUUUAAUCAACUUUCCACAAUAACUCAGAAUUAUUUCUUCAAUAUUUGGUAAGAGAGAAAAGUCUGGUAUUCUAGUAAGUUUCCGAGAACCACUCAGGUCAAGCCUUUUCAAGUUUGGUAAAUUCUGCCACAAAUAGUAAAUGAAUCAGGUAACAAAUAAAAACCACUGUUAAAAAAAUCACACUCUGAACUAACAAAACUGUGGCUAUUCACUAUCAACAAUCCCUCUCAAAUACACUUCUACUAAUACAUUAACAACAAUAUCAUUAUAUUAACCAUAAAAUAUUACAUUUCUUCAGUUAAUACGUAGGACAAUAUAAUAAUCAGGUCACUCAGCUAAUGAAAAAAAUUAAACAACAUGAACUCAAUUAAAUAAUAUAAAACUUUUGAGUACUAGAUAAAAUAAGAAAAUUAAUAAAAAUUCAAUUUGAAAAUAAUCAAAUUUAUAAGAUACUUAAAACUUAAUUAAACCUACAAAUUUUCAUUAUAUGGAGUUAAAUACUAUAAAUAUUUACCACAUAAGUAGAAUGUUUAAAUAUAUAUUUCUUCACGUUGGAAGUUUUUUUCCUCUAUCUUAUAAGUUUUCUUUGUUUCUUUAAUAUUUUUUAAGCCAAUGUGAUUUUUUUAAUAUAAAAUAUUAUUAAAGAUAAAAUAUGAAGAUAGGGUAAUUAAAUAUAAUUUUUUAUUUUUUAGAAAUGAUGAAAAUUAUAAUUAAAUUAACUAAAUUAUAUAAAAUUCUAUUUCAUUUACAUAACUACUUUUCAUAUUAAAAAAACUAUAUAAGAUCUUGAAACUAUAAUUAAUAUUUCUACUCAUUUUUCGUUUUUGUUGGUGAAAUCUUGAUUUUGGGAUAGUAUUAGUGAGAUAUUGUUUGGAGUUAAAAACAAGAAAUUCUUUUGCAUAAUCAAUUUGAACAGUUUUGAUUUUGAAACCAGAUUUUCAGAGAAGAGUUUAAAGCGUUCAAAUGCAGCAAGAGCUUGAGAUUUAGCAUGCUAGAGAUAAAUUCAUGUAUAUUUUAAAUAUGCAUUAGGAAAAGAGAUAUCGUAUGAUGCAACAUUAUUAGCACAAACAACAAACAGCAGAACGUCCCCAAAUAUCAAUAUAGAUAAAUUCUAAAAGGUGAUUAUCCACACUGUUUUAGAACAACUUUGAUUACAGAAAAACUAUAACGCCCAAGUCUAUUAUGCCACAAGUGAAAAGAAGUUUUUUCAUAUUUAAAAGAUGUGUAGUUAGCAGAAAAAACAGAGGAUCAGAGAUCAAGAAAGACAGAGAGAUCAUCUUUAAGUGUGCCUUGUAGAAGAAUCUGUUUAGUUACUUAGUCUUUAACAUAGCAAGAAUGAGGGUGAAAUUCAAAAAACACAUUGUUGUUACGAGCAAACUUUGAAACACUAAGCAAAUUCUUAGUAUAAUGAGAAACAUGUAAAAGAUCAAGGAGAGAGAAGGAAGUACAAGAGGUAGACGACACACAGGAAGCAGAACCAAUGUGGGAGAUUUUUAUACCUGCACCAUUACCAAGUUUAACGUUCGCAAUGCCAUGAUAGAUUUGUUGAUCAUUGAACAGAGUAUGGUCGUUUGUUAUAUGGUGAGAGACACCGCUAUCUGGGUACCAUAAUGGAUCUUCUAAAGAUGAUGGUGGACCAAGAAGAGAGUAAGAAGAGUCAUCACGUGGAGGUGGAGAGAAAUGAGAUGUGUUUGCAGAGGAGGAUGGUGGUGUAGUACGAUCAAACCAGUGCCAACAAUGAAGAGCAGUGUGUCCAAGUUUGGAGCAUAUUUGACAGCGAACAGGGUUGCGUUUCCAUGAUGAAGACGUAGUGGAGUUCCAAGAAGAGUAUUGGGAAGGUCGGGGUUUGCCGCGGUUGAACUGAUUCUAGUUAGAUGUGGGAUUGUAACCACGACCACCACAGGAGGAGUUGGAAAAGGGGAGGUGGAGAGAAAUGAGAUGUGUUUGCAGAGGAGGAUGGUGGUGUAGUACGAUCAAACCAGUGCCAACAACAAUGAAGAGCAGUGUGUCCAAGUUUGGAGCAUAUUUGAGAGCGAACAGGGUUGCGUUUCCAUGAUUACGACAGUAAUAAAUGUAUUAUAUUCUUCAGAUAGCCUUCAAGGAUGAUGUCAAUAUGAUCAGUGGAAACAGGGGCAUCAAUAGCGGCAAGCAUGUUGACGGCGUUCUUGAUAUCAUGGAGAUAGGAGGAGAUGGAUCUGUGAUGACCUGAUUUUGUUGUUGGUACCAUUAGAGACUUGGGGACUGUCAUCAGUGGUGGAAGAAGUGGUUCUUGAUGGAACACUAGUGUCGUCAAGAAAAUGACCCAGUUUGAGCCCGCAAAUGGAGGCAAGGACUUGAUGUUUCCAGAGAAGAUAGUUAUCUUCAUCUAGUUUAAGAGUGAUGGGUGUUGUGAACUGUUGAACGGAAGGCAUGACCAGAGGUAACGGGCAAGAAGAAGAUGCAAAAGAAGAUGAAGAGAUAUGAGUGCAGUGCAUUAGAAUAGAGAGAGAAAGGAGAAAGAUAUUAUCUUAGUAUAUGUGCUAAAGGUAUAUAAGGAGUGCAGAACUGGAAACACUUACAAAGUUGUCGUUACACAGUUAUAGUAUGGUUAACAAUGUAUAAUACAGAAAACAUGCUUGUGUACUUUAUUUUUAUCUUUGAAAGUUUAGAACACAGAGGAACAUAGAUAGCUAGAAAAACCUGAUCUCCUUCCCAGAGUUGUUCAAGAUGGCAGCCUGGCAUUUCCAGGGUCACAGUCUGGCAUUUCCAGGGUCACUAGAUUUUGUGGGCAAAAGUUUGGAGGCCAGAAUCUUUGAGGGAAACCGUUCCAAUAAAGAAACUUUAGAGUGUCUGGCAGACCUACAAGAGAUGAUUCAAGAGACACAUUUGAUAUGAAUAUAGGCAUGUAGACCAUAAGCAUCAUAAGAUUGUCCAUCUUUUCGAAACUUUGUGCAUGUACUACAGCAUCUUUUACUUUGUUCGUAUGUAGUAAUAUACACUGUAUUGCAUCUGACCCCUGAAAGUAAAUCAAUUUAAUUAGGAGAAAAAAAACAUGAAAUGUUGCAUUGCAGGAUGUUUAAUGACAUCUCAGUGGUUUGCAAUUUUUUACAAAGUAAAUCCAUUCUCAAUUGAGUAACGACAUAAUACCUUGUUCUUUCUUAAAACCUCUCAAAUUUCCUCAGCAUUAAACAAUCGGCUGCGUUUUCCAGGAUGCUGAGGACACUCUUUACGAACAAUUUCUUGACUCAUUUCUNNNNNNNNNNNNNNNNNNNNNNNNNNNNNNNNNNNNNNNNNNNNNNNNNNNNNNNNNNNNNNNNNNNNNNNNNNNNNNNNNNNNNNNNNNNNNNNNNNNNGAUCCAUCUUUUUCUGCUGCUACCAUGUCGAACUCCCUUCAAAUCAAUACAAUGUCUUCACCAUCAAUCAGCCAAGUGAUUAAUGUUAAACUCACACAAGAAAAUUAUUUAUUGUGGUCUGCUCAAAUCCUUCCCUAUUUACGUAGUCAGGGGCUGGUUGGGUUUGUGGAUGGAUCCAUGCCACCACCAAACCAAACGAUUACGGUUGAGUCAAGUGAAGAAACAGGGAGCCGCAAAAUCCUGAAUUCACAGUCUGGUACCCCCAGGACCAGCUGGUACUCAGUCUCAUCAACUCAUCGGUUACCGAGGAAGUUCUCAGCACGGUGGUCGGAAUCACCACUGCACGAGAAGCCUGGGAUAUGCUGGAGCGGCAAUUUGCCUCCACAUCUCGAGCACGAGCAAUGCAGAAUCAUAUGGAACUCUCCACGAUCCAAAAGAAGGACAUGACAAUUGCUGACUAUUUUCGUAAAGUAAAACGUCUCGGAGACACUCUGGCUGCCAUUGGCAAGCGAGUAGAGGAUGAAGAACUCAUCGCCUACAUGCUGCAAGGACUUGGUCUAGAUUAUGAUCCUCUUGUCACAAGCAUUACAACUAGAACAGAUGUUUACACUGUCAGCGAUGUGUAUGCUCAUAUGCUGAGCUACGAGAUGCGUCAUCUGCGUAAUGGUACUCUUGAGCAAUUUCCUUUUGCUAACAAUGUCAACAGCAUGUCUAAUCGAGGAGGAACUAAUGGACGUCGUGGUGGUCGUGGUCGUCAAUCAAAUGGUGGUCGAGGACAAACAUGGCACACUAGAAACAAUUCUGGACGUCAGCCAUCAAAGGCACAAAGUAACUCAGACAAAGUCUGUCAGAUUUGUGGUAAGCCAAACCAUGAUGCUUUGCAAUGUUGGCACAGAUUUGAUCAGGCAUAUUAAGCCGAAGACAAUCUUAAACAAGCAGUUGUGGCCACAAGUGGAUAUACUGGUGAUGCAAACUGGUACGUAGAUACUGGAGCCACAGAUCACAUCACCAACGAGUUAGAAAGACUUACCACCAACGAACAUUACAAUGGCACUGAUCAGAUUCAAGUUGCAAAUGGCUCAGGUUUUUCUAUCUCUCAUAUUGGGAACUCAUUAAUUUCUGGUUCAUCUAGAUCUCUUGUACUGAAACAUAUCCUAUAUGCUCCUAAAAUCAAUAAACAUCUGAUUUCAGUACAAAGACUAGCAUCUGAUAAUAAUGCCUUUGUGGAAUUUCACCCACACUGUUUUUUUGUUAAGGACCGAGCCACGAAGGAACUUCUGCUCACAAGUAGAUGUAAGAAUGGCCUCUACACUUUACCAAAUAACUCCAGCAAAGCAUUCCCGACAGCCAAACUUUCGAAAGAACAAUGGCAUAGAAGACUUGGGCAUCCUGCUUUCCCAGUCACAAUUAGAAUCUUGAAAAAUAAUAACUUAGCUCUAGAUACUAGAGUUUCUUCUUCCUUAAUUUGCCAUGCUUGUCAACUAGAAAAGCACAUCAAUUACCCUUUGUUUCUUCUCAACAUGUAUCUACAGCACCUCUUCAAUUGAUUCAUACUGAUGUAUGGGGUCCAGCCAUUGUCUUAGUGAAUAAUUCUAAAUAUUAUGUUUCAUUUGUUGAUGAUUUUAGCAGAUAUGUUUGGAUUUAUUUUUUGAAAUACAAGUCUGAUGUUGAGUCUGUGUUUCAUCAGUUUCAAAAACAUGUUGAAACCAUGCUAAACACCAAAAUUCGCUCUGUCCAGUCAGAUUGGGGGGGUGAAUACCAUCGUUUGCACCAAUAUUUCAAAACAACUGGAAUUGAGCAUCGUCUUUCUUGUCCUCACACACAUCAGCAAAAUGGGUUGGUAGAAAGAAAGCACAGACACAUUGUGGAAACUGGCCUUACUUUACUUGCCCAAGCUAACAUGCCUUUGUCCUAUUAGGAUGAAGCCUUCAAUACAGCUUGUUACCUUAUAAAUAGACUACCAUCUCGAAUCAUACAAGCAAGACACACCACUUCAUAAAUUAUUUGCAAAAAAUCCAGAUUACACCAUGCUUAAGGUGUUUGGCUGUGCUUGCUGGCCCAAUUUAAGGCCUUACAACACCAAGAAACUGAGUUUUCGAACCACUAAGUGUGUCUUCUUAGGCUAUAGUUCUUCUCAUAAGGGAUACAAGUGCUUAGAUAGAAGUACAAAACGAAUUUACAUCUCUAGAGAUGUAAUCUUUGAUGAAAAUGUGUUUCCUUUUGAAGAAUUAAAUUCUAAGUCAUCAAUCCAAACCAAAAAUUCACACCAGCCUGCUCUACUUCCAACCUUCGUUAAACCCGUUCCAUACACUGAAAAUGCUCUCACAAAUAUUGAACCAGUUGUUAAUGAUUCUCGUAUAAUUGAUGGUCAAUCUAAUGAUGUUGCUAAUAACAACUUGUCUGGUAUAAGCUUACAUCCUGCAGAUAAUACAAUAAGUCCAGAAAUUGUUGCAGAACAGGAAGCUGAGAACAGUCUGACCAAUUUCCAAGAACAGAUGUUCNNNNNNNNNNNNNNNNNNNNNNNNNNNNNNNNNNNNNNNNNNNNNNNNNNNNNNNNNNNNNNNNNNNNNNNNNNNNNNNNNNNNNNNNNNNNNNNNNNNNGAACAAGAUUGAAAAAUAACAUUGUCCAAGCAAAACAGUUCACUGAUGGUACUGUCAGAUAUUCAGAGACCUCAAGAAAGUUUACCGGUGCUGUCACUGUCAAAAAUCCGACCACAAUAAAUGUACUAAAAAAUGCUACUGAGACUGAUACAGUUACUGAACCUCAAAACCUGCAGGAAGCUCUACAAAGUCCAGGUUGGCAGGAAGCAAUGAAUAAUGAGCUCUCAGCAUUACAACACAAUGAGACUUGGGAUUUCGUUCCACCAAAACCUGGCAUAAAUCUCAUUGAUAGUCGAUGGGUGUAUAAAGUGAAAAGGAAAGCGGAUGAAUCAGUGGAGAGAUUGAAAGCAAGGUUGGUUGCUAAAGGGUUCAAGCAAAGAUUUGGCAUUGAUUACAUUGAUACCUUUAGCCCCGUGGUCAAGCCAUCAACAAUCAAAGUUAUUCUUUCACUAGCAGUAACCAAAGGCUGGAAUAUGAGACAAGUUGAUAUCCAAAAUGCAUUCUUGCAUGGAAUUUUGGAAGAGGAAGUGUACAUGCGACAACCAUCGGGAUUUCAAGACCCAUAUAAACCAAAGGAAUACAUAUGCAAACUCAAGAAAGCGCUUUAUGGCCUGAAACAGGCUCCAAAGGCUUGGCACUCAAGACUGACUGGAAAACUUAUGGAAUUAGGCUUUAGAGCUUCUGUAGCUGAUUCAUCUUUGUUUAUCCUCAAAAACAAAGAGGUAACCAUCUAUAUGCUCAUAUACGUUGAUGAUAUAAUUAUCGUGAGCUCCUCUGAUCAAGCCACCGAAAGGUUGAUUCAGAAGUUGAAAAUAGAUUUUGCUAUAAAAGACUUAGGUGGUCUUGAGUAUUUUCUGGGUAUUGAAGUCAAGAAGGCAAGAGAUGGCAUCACANNNNNNNNNNNNNNNNNNNNNNNNNNNNNNNNNNNNNNNNNNNNNNNNNNNNNNNNNNNNNNNNNNNNNNNNNNNNNNNNNNNNNNNNNNNNNNNNNNNNAAAUUAUUCAAAGAGCAGGGAACACUCUUGUCAAUUGAAGAACAAUUUAAAUACAGAAGUACUGUGGGAGCAUUGCAAUACUUGACAAUGACCAGGCCUGAUUUGGCAUUUGCUGUCAACAAGGUUUGCCAAUACCUUCAUACGCCUACUGAUGCUCAUUGGAGUGUUGUAAAGAGAAUCCUUCGUUAUGUCAAGGGCACAUUAGAUUUGGGAAUCAGAAUUCAGAAGUCUCCAACAAUGCUGCUGUCCGGAUUUUCUGAUGCUGAUUGGGCUGGUUGUCCUGAUGAUCGACGUUCAACUAGCGGCUUUGCUGUAUUUCUUGGAGCAAAUCUAAUUUCUUGGAGCUCUAGAAAACAAACCACAGUGUCCAGAUCGAGCACCGAAGCAGAAUACAAGGCCAUUGCGAAUCUGACAGCAGAAAUGAUUUGGAUAAAAUCAUUAUUGAAAGAGCUUGGUGUGUAUCAAUCAAAAGCUCCUCGACUCUGGUGUGACAAUCUAGGAGCUACAUACUUAACUUCAAAUCCAGUGUUUCAUGCAAGAACAAAACAUAUUGAAGUUGACUUCCAUUUUGUUCGAGAACAAGUGGCACGCAAAGCAAUGGAAGUUCAGUUUAUUUCAUCAAGUGAUCAAGUGGCUGAUAUCCUAACAAAACCACUGUCUAGAACUCUCUUUAUUACACAUUGUAACAAUCUCAACAUGUAUAAAACCUGUUGGGAUUGAAGGGGACUGUUAGAAUUAGUCAGUUAGAAGUGGAACACGUUUGUAGAAGUGGAACACGUUAGUUGGUUAGUUGCCUUAAGAAGCGGAUCAUGGAUCCAACCGUGUAUGCAAUCAGUUACCUUUCUUUAAUUAUAAAUACAAUACGUCCUCCACAUAGAGAGGUACAGUUAGCAAACUUUAUUAGAGCUGAAUCGGUAACAUCAUCAAGAAUGAGGAGAACCUUUGUCCGUUUGAGCCUUUCAUUGUAAUAUGGUGAAGAAGAGGAUUUCUCUUCCUUUAGAAGCUCAGACUGAUAUUUUGUUCUGAUACUGUCUAUUCCAUCUCUUUGUAUUUUUUCUUGAACGUCUAAAACAAGGCUGCUGGAAUCAAACUGCAAUGCCAAUUUGUGAUAUAUUUGAUUACAAAUUGUAGUUUUUCCUAUUCCUCCCAUGCCACAAAUUCCUAUGAUCCGAACAUCCGGUGACUCAAGAUGCAACAAGGACUGAAUUCCUUCAAUAUGUUUUUCAAUGCCGAUGAUUCCUUGAUCAUAACUGAUGGAAUAACGAUUCAAUUUUUUCAACAAGUGUGUGUUCUGUGCUGGCAGAUGAUUUAGAAAAUAAUGUAUAAGUAUUCAAGCACAAAAGCUAAACUAAAGAAAAAUUCUACAGCAUCCGUUUGUGACUUCUGAUACUAGGGAGAAGACUUGUAGGUACAAAGUUAAGCUAUAACAUGUAAUAUGGUUCAGAUCUAAGACCGACUAAUAGAAAUGAAAAAAGAAGCACUUGAUUUAGGGUGAGAUGAACACAAUUUUAGUAAAUGAAAAGAGAUCCUGAUUAUCUGGAAAGUGCGUGACCUGGUGACUUUUGAAUCCCAGCCUGCAAGUUCAGCAGCUUCGGUGAGAGCAUCCUUCCAUCCUUGCACUUUAUCGUGCUUAAAGUGCUGCUCAUGCUUUUCGAAUGCUUCUUUGUAUCUUUGUUCCUGCUUCCUAAUAGUUGAUGGAUCCACCUUGUAGAAAACAGGUAUGACAUCCCUUCCAAAUCUCUUCUUGCAUUCAAGUAUCUUAGUGAGUUCAUUCAAGCACCAAGUGGAAGAUGCAUAGUCUUGGGAGAAAACGAUGACAUAAAUCUUUGAAAAAUAAGUAUGAAAUCUAGAUAUAUAUCAUUAUCACGUGUGGAAGCUACGUCGUCUUGUAUUGGAUUUUCUAAUCUGCCUUUUAUCUUGUCUCAUUCUUCUUUAUCUUUUUUCUCUCAUCUCUCUUGCUUACGAUUUCUUUGCCUUUAUUCAGAAAUUUUAGUUAUAAUAAACCUUCAAUAAUAUUUGUACUUUCUAGCAUAUAGAAUACUUAAUGGAUCCUUUUCUGAUUUUUCUUUUCUAAAGUUCAAUUGAUUUUUUAAAUGUUUUUCUAUUUAAUUUUCCUUUCUUAAUGACACAUAAAAUGGUUCAGUGCACAAUUAAUUAUUCUCACCUUAGAUUUCAUUCAUCUCAUUCCAUUUCCACACUCAAAUCAUUCUCACAUUUGUUUCUACCUGUUUCACAAAGUUUUAGUUAAAAUAUGGAAAUUAAUGUUCAAGAACCCUACUUAAUAUUAAUAUUCAACAAUUUAAAAUAUUAAAAUGCAAAUUAAUCUUUCUUAAUAAUGUCAUUUUUAUGUAAAAAAUAAAAUGUAGUUUAGUCAUUUAUACUUAGAUGGAUAAAGAUGAUUUUAGAAAAAAAAAAUGCAUUUUAUUUCAAAGGUUAACUAAACUCUGAACUCAUUUAUGAAUUAAUAAUAAUAAAUAAUAUGUAAUUGUAUUCCAAUACCAUAUAAAUUUUUUUUAUUGGGUGCGUUUCUGAUGAAUUAAUGCACUCUAGGGACAAUGAUCGCUCUAGUAUUUGAUUUUUUAUUUAUUUUAAUGUUAAAAUUAUAGCUAUGUAGUACAGAUAUUACUGACACAGACAGACACGAACACGGACACAGAAAUACAUAAAAUCUCUAAAAUGUAGAAUACGGAGACAUUAAUCUAUAUAUUAUAUAAUUAUGAAUCAUAUAAAUUAACAAUAAAGAUUUAUGUGCACAAGUAUUUUUGAGAUUAUUUUUUAGAACAGAAAUAUGUUUUUCAUGACUAGUUCACAAAUAUUUGUUUCUUAUUCUUAUAAUCAUAAUAACAAUUUAUACCAUAAAGUUUCAAUUUUAGAAAAUUAAUGUAUUUUUUCUUUUUAAAAUUUCGUUAGAACUGUACUAGAAUUGUAAAAAAUCUAACAAAUACAUUUUGAAUUGGACAUUCCACGAAUACGUGUCCUACCAGUAUUUUGAACAACAUUCUUUCUUUUGGAACAAAGAGGGCAUAUGCCGCAGUCUUUUACUGUGAUAACUCAUUUCAACUCUCACACAACUGAUUCGUAAUCUGUGGGAUGCAUUAAAGCCUUUUGCAGUUAAAUCAAUAGUAUAUGAUGAUGUGAAUGUUAUUUAUAUACUAAAUAUAAUCACAUAGUAACUUCAAAUUUGAUAAGGUACAACAUGUUACCAUAUCUCUUUUAAUUUAUUUUAUUUCAUUAUAUAUUUAGGUGUAUUUAAUUUCUUUUAUUUCAUUGUGUAUUUAGGUGUAUUACGUAAAAUAUAUAAUUAAAAAGAAAGAAGAAUAAUGUUAUUUUGAAAUUUAAAGAAGACAUAUAGAAAUAAACAAGCUUUUGCUAAGAUUCCACCAUUGAAAAGGAACAUAGAACAAUCUUGACAAUUAUACUUUGACUUAUUUUAAUUUCUUAUAUUUAUGAGUAUUAUUUUUUCUUAAACAUAGAUAUUGGAUAAAAAAUACAAAUAACAUUUCUUUAUUUCAAAUUUAAAAAUAUUUUAAAUUAAAAUAAAAUAAUUUUUUAAUUAAGAUAUAACAAAAUAUUCUUUAACAAAUUAUUUUAAUUUCAAAAUAAUUAAUUCAGAGGACGAUUGAAAAAAUAUUAAAUAUUAUAAUAAAGCUUCAAUAAUAUUUGUACUUUCUAGCAUAUAGAAUACUUAAUGGAUCCUUUUAUGAAUUUUCUUUUCUAAAGUACAAUUGAUUUUUUAAAUGUUUUUCUAUUUAAUUUUUCUUUCUUGACACAAAAUGUUCAGUGCACAAUUAAUUACUCACCUUAGAUUUCGUUCUUCUCUUUCCAUUUCCACACUCAAAUCAUUUUCACCUUUUUUUUCUUCUUAUUUCACAAAACUUUAAUUAAAAUAUGGAAAAUAAAGUUCAAGAACCCUGCUUAUAUAUUAAUAUUCAAAAAUUUAAAAUAUUAAUAUGCAAAUGAAUAUUUCUUAAUAAUUUUAUUUUGAUGUAAAAAAUAAAAUGUAGUUUAGUCAUUCAUACUUAGAUGGAUAAAGAUGGUUUUAGAAAAAAAAAAAGAAUAUGCAUUUUAUUUGAAAGGUUAUCUAAACUCUGAACUCACUGAUGAAUUAAUAAUAAUAAAUAAUAUGGAAUUCUAUUCCAAUACCAUAUAGGAUGGAGAAAAGUAAGAAGAGGAUUUACACAUUACCCUUUCAAAUGGAGCUCCUCAGGAUUUCAUAAUGCCUUCACUGCAAAUGCAACCCAAAUAUGCUAAAAAAGUUAAUGAAACUAUAUAUGAAGAGUUAAUGAAACUAAAUGGCGUGUGCUGAAAUUUUUGAUCCGAUAACCAUGCCCACAUUCAAAAAGUGAAAGGUUACUUUGCUUUAUAUUCCUUUGGGUGGUGCUACUUUUCAACUUGACAACAAAUUCCCAUUAUUGUGUGGUUAUCAAUUACCAUUUAACUUAUUCUCAUACCACAUUCACUAUAUAAUAGUCCAUCAUAAACCCCAAAAUUUGCACAUUUUCUAUUUGCAAGACAUCCAACAGACAAAGAAAACAUGUGAAACUGUGUAAUAAUGUGAGAACGUAAGAACUUACUUCAUCAUGAAAUCAAGCCAUGCCUGAGGGUUUUUUCUGAGAGCAUUCACCACAGGUGCAUAUUCAUGUGGCUGUAUCCCAUACUCAGCUAGUAUUUCUGCUACCUCUGCCGCUUCUUUUUUUGUCAAAAAACACAUAUUCAUUAUUAAUGUGCAAUCAAAUGGUAACGAAACUAUGUAGUACAAACACACACUGAUACGACACUAGGACGAACAUACGUAUAAUGUUACUCCUUCUAUGGAAAUGAAGGAUAUUCAGCAAUAACUUUUAAAACUCAUUACAUAGAAAUUUGCAUCAAGUUAUCAAAGUCUAUAGGAAUGAAUUUUCAAUUCAUGGAAACACAGAUAACAAAAAGUAAUAGAAAAAUAGAAAAAAAGUUGUCAAAUGAUUCUAUAAAAAAUUAACCUAUCAUGAAAAUCAAGAUGAUAGAAAAUAAAAUAAUGUGGCAUGAACAUCAAAAUCGUAUAAAAGCAUAAUAGAAGAACAGUGGAUACCAGUUUCUGGCACGGCGAUGAUUUCUUCUUGCUCUCUUUUCAAUUCCCUCGAGUAAUUAUCGGCUUCACUUUUUGCUGCCAAAUAACUGCACAAUGAAAAUUAACAUGAAAUAAUAACGGAAUUUAAAUUGAGUUUUGUGAGUGUGAAGAGUGUGGUUGAACGUACCCGCCGAGGCCCAUGGAGAUGGCGCCGGCGGCGACUUCCGCUAUGCCAGCGGUGAGAACGAUGGAGGAGGUGACAUUGGCGCCGGAGAGGCCGGCGGCGAGGGCGAAGGGGACGGUGAGGCCGUCGGAAACGCCGAUGAUGAUGUCGCGGACUAUUUCGCCGGCGGUGAAGUGCUUCUCGGUGUGGUGGUUGAGAAGGUUCGUUCUCUCAGAAUCCACGCUUAUGCCGUGUUCGGUGGCGGCCAUUGGUGCAAGCUUGUGAAUGUGUUUGAGUUCGCCAACGUGCUCUGGGAAUCCAAACAAAGCCUUGCUGCUUUGCACAUAAAUUGAGCCUCUUUUGUGCUCAACUUACUCCUAAAUAGAACAAAAAUAUCUAACCGUUGAUGAUAUCCACGUGGAAAAUUAUCAAUGGAUAUCAAUAUCACAUUAUUUCUACACUAAUAUUUUAAUUAUUUUUAAAUAUUAUAACUAAAUCAAUCAAUAUAAUACCAAAUCUUCUUAAUUCUUUGGAUUAUAUAUAUUUUAUUUUAUUUUAUUUAUAAAGGAAGUUGUGAUAAAUGUUGUGUUUUGUGUGCACAUUAAUAAAAAUCAAAUAACCAAAAAAUAAUAAUCUUGUGAAAGAAAAAAUGGUAGAAUUUAUACUAUUCUACAAAAUUUUAAAAGUGGCUAAUGUGUUUUACUCAACUAUGUAAAUAAUUUUGGACUCUCUUGUUAAGGAAAUAAUGAAAUACAUUAAAUUUUGUUUUAUACUCUUACUUUAAGUUUUUUUGUGUUUCUCCUGACUUAAUUAAAUAUCAGAGAGUCGUCUUUUGCAGGUAGAUUUCAUUCUAUCAUAAUAUACCAACUGAAAACUUGUUUUCUGAAAAACACACGGCUCUCACCGAAUUGCACUUUCCAAUUUUUUUUAAUAGAAAUAAUAAUAAUUAAGUAUUUGUGUUCUUAUAUUUAAUUUUUAAUAAAAAAAUUAUUCUUAUGUACUUCUAAAUUGAUAUAUUUUACCAAUGUCUAUUAACAAUGGGAAGAAGUUUAUACCUAACAAAACUAUUUAACAUGAUUUGUUUGUAAAUUAUAGAAGUAUGUGUAGAAAGAUAUAAAAUUAAUGUUUUAAGAGAAAUUUAAGCAACUUUCAUAAUAUAUUGUAGAUUAUUAGUUGAAUUUAUGGAAAUUAAAAAUAAAUUGUAGGUCACCACACUUCCACUUUUUUUUAAUGAUAUCAAAUCACAACUUUACAAUUUUCACUAAUUUUUAACCAAUAACAAAAGAACAUCUUAGAAGAAGUGUGUUUAAGAAUUUGAUGUUAACUCUCAUUGUUUUUUAAACUUAAAUCCAGCUUUAUUCUUCAACUUUUAAUUUUUAUACAUAUUUAAUUGUAUAUAUAGUUUUUAACUCUCUAAAAUCAAACAAUUUUAAUUCAUUAAAUAGGCAAUGUCAUGAGUGUUAAACUUUUAACAUUUUUCUAGUAAUUAAAUUACUUAUGAAGAUUCAACUAAUUCAAAAUUUAAUAUUUUUACAAUUUUUAUUAUAAUAUUCUUAAAAUAUAUUUUAAUAUUUUGUUUUUCAUGUUUGAAAUAUAAAUGUUUUAAAAAAUCAUUUUAAAUUAUUUUGUUUCUCAUCUUAUGUAAUAAAUUACUAUAAUAAUUACUAAAACAUUUAAUACCUAUACAUUUUUAAUGAGCAAAAACUAAUAAUGAAUUAUAACAAAUAAAAAACGUUUCUGGGCAACAAAAUAGUAAUUAAUAUGAAUUAUAACAAAUAAUGAACGUUUUGUGGUAAUUUGUUUCACUUUCAAAUAAGUUAGUACUUCGCCUGUUAUUUCAUAACGGUAGUUUUUUUAAAUAUAUUAAGAAAAAUGUUUAUUUUUUUAUUUUUAAUGCACUUUUAAGUAACUUGCCUAUUAUAUUAUAUUAUAUGGGUAUUAUAUAUAUAUAGGUAAGCACCAAAAAAUAAAUUUAAGGUAAAAGUGAUAUAAUUAAAAUAAAAUAAAUUAUUAUUAAAUAGAAAAUAUAUAUAAUUAAAAAAAUCAGUUAUUUAAGUUUUAUUUUAAAAUAAUUUUUGUAAAAAAAUUUUCUUUUUUUCCUUGUUCACGAUUUUAAAUUUUAUAUUCACUUGGUAGACAUGUUUUGCAUGUGGUGUUUGGGACUUAAAAGAAUAAUAUAUGUUAGUUCAAGAUCCUAAUGAUGUGUUUUUAAGAAGUUGGACUAUCUUUGUUUUUUUAAGAAGUUGAAGUCUUUUUAUGAAUACUUAUCUUUUUAAACAGGUAAGAUAAACUAGUUUUAUCUGUAAAACUUAAGUUAGAAUAUCUGAAUAUGAAAUGUGAUUCUUCAUAUGAUUAUGAUUGAAUGAUUCAAAAUUCAAGUAUAAAGUUUUAAGAAUCAUUAACUUAUGUUUUUUUUUUUGUGCUAUUUUUUUGAUUUUUUGCAAUGAUUGUGUGUUGCAUGUGAGCAAAUGAUGUUACAAGUUGUAAACCUAAAAAAAAAUCAUGAAAUUUUGUCUUUUUUAUUCUUUUGAUAUUUUAUCUUAAUGAUAUAUAUAUAUAUAUAUAUAUAUAUAUAUAUAUUUAAAAAUCUCUAUAUGAAAGGAUAGUAUUUUAUGAUAUAAUAAUAUGAUAAUGUAAAUGUUAUUUAUAUAAUAAAUAUCAUGAGAUAAUUUAAAUUUUGAUAAGAUAAAUGAAGAUGUUACAAUAUCUCUUUUAAUUUUUUUUUAUUUCAUUAUAUAUUUAGGCGUAUUUAAUUUCUUUUAUUUCAUUGUAUAUUUAGGUGUAUUACGUAAAAUAUAUAAUUAAAAAGAAAAAAUAAUGUUAUUUUGAAAUUUAAAGAAUGACGUAUAGAAAGAAACAAGCUUUUGUUAAAAUUCCACCAUUGAAAAGGAACAUAGAACAACACUCUUGACAAUUAUACUUUGACUUAGAUACUUAUUUUAAUUUAUUAUAUUCAUGAGUAUUAUUUUUUCUUAAACAUAGAUAUUGGAUAAAAAUUAAUAAAAUUUAUUUAUUUCAAAUUUAAAAAUAUUUAAAAUUAAAAUAAAAUAAUAUUUUUAAUUAAGAUAUAAAAAAAUAUUCUUUACAAAUUUUUUUAAUUUCAAAAUAAUUAAUUCAGAGGAUGAUUGAAAAAAUAUUAACAAUCUAUUUAUGCGUUUAUAGUAAACCUUCAAUAAUAUUUGUACUUUCUAGCAUAUAGAAUACUUACUGGAUUUCUUACUCUUUCUUUCUACACCUCUAUCCAUACUAAAUAUAAAAAUACCAUUUUAUUCUUUUUUCUCCACCCCUUGAAUUUGAAAUAAUAAGCCCAUGGAUUAUGUAAUCUGGAUAUAUUCCGGAUUAGUCAAUUUCAUAUUUAGAAAAGACUUUCGGAUUAUGUAAUCCAGAAGCUAAUAAAACAUCUGAAAAAAAGGCUUCCGGAUUACAUAAUCCGGAAGCUAAUCUUAUGUAUAGAAAAGACUUUCGCAUUAUGUAUUCCGGAAGCUAAUCACAAAAGACUUCUGGAUUACAUAAUCCAAACGCUAAUUCUAAAUCUAGAAAAAAGACUUCCGGAUUAUGUAAUCCGGAAUAUUAAAAAAGAUAUUUUUGAAAUACGAAAAAUUUAUGGGGGUGACACAAGAAGGUAUGGAGGUGCAGGAAGAAACAGCCUGGAUUCCUUUUGUGAUUUUUCUUUUCUAAAGUACAAUUGAUAUUUUAAAUGUUUUUCUAUUUAAUUUGUCUUUCUUAAAUGACACAUAAAAUGUUCAGUGCACAAUUAACUACUCACCUUAGAUUUCGUUCUUCUUUUUCCACUUCCACACUAAAAUCAUUUUCACAUUUUUUUUACCUAUUUCACAAAAAUUUAAUUCAAAAAUGGAAAUUAAAGUUCAAGAACCCUACUUAUAUAUUAACAUUCAACAAUUUAAAAUAUUAAUAUUCAAAUUAAUCUUUCUUAAUGUUAUGAAAAAUUUAAAAUGUAGUUUAGUCAUUCUUGGAUGGAAAAAGAUGGUUUUAGAAGAAAAAAAUGCAUUUUAUUUGAAAGGUUAUCUAAACUCUAAACUCAUUGAUGAAUUAAUAAUAAUAAAUAAUAUGGAAUUCUAUUGGAAUAGCAUAUAAAUGUUUUGUUGUUGAAACUGAUAAUUGGGUGCGUUUCUGAUGAAAUUAAUUAAUGCAGUCUAGGGACAAUUAUCGCUCUAGUAUUUCAUUUUUUUAUUUUUAACGUUGAAAUUAUAAUUAUACAAUUCCGUUUUUAGAUAUUAAAAUGAUAGUUUUCAUUUACAGAUUAAAAUAUUACUUGUUUCUUUUAAGAUUUUUUUGGUAUUAUAAUUAUUUGUUAGCUGAAUUGUUUUGCGUUAACAUGUUGUUUUCUUGGGCUAUGAUGUAAGCAAUAUAAAUGUUAUUUUUAAUGUAAGCAAUAAAAAUUAUGAGUAUUCAAAGUCGUGUAAUUACUUAAAAGAAUCAAGUGAUUUUUAAAAGAACUCACACGAUCAGUUUUAAUUUUGACGAUAAAAUAUAUUAGUUAUAUAUAUUUAUUCAAAAUUUCAAUUAUACUAUGCAUUUAUGGUUUUAUGCUUUUAGAGGAAUCAGUAACUUAGAAAAGCUCCCAAAAACUAAUGAAAUCCCAUGAAUGAAGAAGGAGAACAAAUGGAAGUGAAAAAUCAGUAAGAUGAUAAUUAAUAAACACCCUCUCUUAAUAACAUAACAUAGGAGUCUUUAAACUUAUAUUCUUCAAACAAUUAUAAGCUGUCUUCAACUUUACUGUUAAACUACAAUUAUAAAGAAUUAACAAUCUCACACACCAACAACAUUUAUAAGUCAUCACUCACAUGCAACAAGGUGUGCCUCAAUGUGAAAAAACCAAGAUCAAUAAGAAAUGAGGUUCCACUUAACCAAGCUGAGAAUUGUCUGGUUUUCCAGCUCCAUGCACAAACCUAAUACAAUGAUAUGAUAUUCAAUACCAAGAGGUACCUUGUCGUAAAACUGAGAAUAUGAGGUUGCAUAGGAUGGAGAAAAGUAAGAAGAGGAUUUACCAAUUACCCUUUCAAAUGCAGCUCCUCAAGAUUUCAUAAUCCCUUCACUGCAAAUGCAACCCAAAUAUGUUAAAGAAGUUAAUGAAACCGAAAUAUGAAGAGUUUCAAAAUAAAAAUUUAACAUGUUGAAACUUGUAAUUUAGAAGUAUUGACUAUAAGGCAGUUUAGAUCCUGACCAAUGAAAGACUAAUAAGCAGAAGAGGAAGAGACUAGUUGACUGGCUAGCUUUCGGCCUUCCACUUCCUAUCUUCCCUUGUUUCUCUUGAAGACUGUGCAACAUUGCUUCCACUGGAUUCUUCAAUCUCAACAGCACCACCAUAUUCAUCAUCUUUCUUUUUCGUAUAAAGAGGGCAUAUGCCGCAUUCUUUUAUUGUGAUAACUGAUUUCAACUCUCUCACAACUGAUUCGUAAUCUGGCCACCCAAAGUCAUAAUCACACGGACUGAUCUCAAAAGUGAAGCUGCGAGCAUCACAUAGCCUGAGGCUCAUGCCGCUCGCCCUUAGGGACUCCAAGUUAAAUUUCCACACGAAUGUGUGAUCUUUAUCAACACAUCUCUCUUCACCAUUCCAUUUGAAAUAGCUGUUUAACACAUCAUUAUUUGGAAUGAUCUGUGUGCCAUCAUCAUCAGAUUCAAAUGUUAGGCUGUAACUAAAAGAACCAUAUCUACCAUUCAUAGCAUACGUAUCUAACACUCCAAAAACCACACUCAAAGCGAAACCAGUGAGCCUAUCAUCGCUGCAGAAACUUAAAUCUUCAUUUAUAGUCACUGAAUGUCCCUUCCCACGAAAAUUGAACCAACCAGGAACUGCACUCCCUGGAAAACAGAAGAACACACACCUAUAUGCAUCGUCGGUCAUCCUAAGCCUUGCAUCCUCCUCAAUGUUAGCACGACCACCUGAAUCCAGUUGUUGAGCAUUGGUGAAAUGAAAUUUAAAUACACCCUCUUCGGAAUUUGAGAGGUUUCGAACAAGAGAAUUUGGCAUCACUCUUCUAAUGGAUGGGCAAUCCAAUGCCACGAGUUGUUUCAGAAAUGGUGGAAUCUGUGGGAUGCAUUCAAGCUUUUUGCAGUCGCUUAAAUCAAGCGAUUUCAAACUUGAAAGAUGAGCAAUGCUCCCAGGAAGGUUCACGAUUCCGCUAUUACGCAGUGAAAGUUUCAUUAAUGACGUCAAACGACCAAUGUGUCUAGGGAUUUCUGUUAAUUUGGGGCACCCCGAACAAUCAAGUUUAGAGAGAAGCUUCAGAUUAACAAUGCAGUUUGGAAGUGAGUCGAGAUCAGUGCAUUUGUGGAGCUCCAGGGAUCGAAGAUUAACCAAAUUGCCAAAUGAGGAAGGCAAUUCUUUAACAGCCGUAGAUGUUAAGUUAAUGUGAGCAAAAGUAUGAGCCGGCUCCGUGAUCUCUGGGAAGGACCUCAGCCUUGAGCAACCACCUAAAUCAAACUUCCUCAAUUUCAAAUUGAAAAUGGUGCUUGGAAAAGUUUGAAGUGAAUUACAGUGGGUAAGGUCUAACUUGCAUAGUCUGGUGAGGGUUCCAAUGGAAGAUGGAAUAAUCUGAAGAUUGAAGCAACUGCGCAAACUCAGUUGUUGAAGCCCUACCAAACGGCACAAGGAUGAAGGUAGUGCCUGUAUGGCUGUGUCGUCUAAGAUGAGCACCGCUAGAUCUUCCAACGUGUCCUGAAUCUGGGGUAAAUAUUCCAAUUUUGAGCAACCACGGAGAGAAAGUUGCUUUAGGAAUUUCAUAUCAGAAAGGUCAAACGGAAAGAUUGUAAGGGAAGAACAGUCAGAGAGAUCUAAGUAACAGAGGUUCUUGAGACUUUGAAAGUUCAAGGGCACACCUCCUCUGAGAUUUGCCGACACUUCAAAUUGUAAGUAUAGAGUAUUAUUAGCCACUUCUUCAUUAUAUCUGUCAAAAGUAAUUGAGAAAAUUUCACUGGAACUUCGGAAAAUAUGAACACCGGAUGCACAUUGCGCUUCAACUAUCAUAUUUCCACGUUUAUGCCGCAGUUUCAUAUGAGGGAAUCUGGGUUCACUGGUUGAAAACAUAUUAAGCUUCCGACAACAGGAAAGAAUAAUCAAUCCUGGUAAUGUGGAUAAAAUGUUGUUGGGAAUAUUUACACUAUUCAGAUCAUAACAAUGAUCUAAACAUAAACAACUGAGCUUGCUGAGGAAUAUCGAAGAGUGAACUUCAAUCAACUUUGAACAAUAACUCAGCUUUAUUUCUUCAAUAUUUGGUGACGUAGAAAGGUCUGGUAUUCUAGUAAGGUUCGAAGAAUGACUCAGGUUGAGCCUUUUCAACUUGGGUAAAUUCUGCCACAAAAUGUAAAUGAAUCAGGUAACACAAAAACUAAAUUAAAGUUUUAGGCAAUUUUAUCUAUUUUUCUUCGGUAAACAAUAGAUGACAAUGUCGAAAUACUUUAUAUUAUGCAUGUAUCAACUGACAAAAUAAAACGAUGUUUUCUGAGAGUUAAAAUUAAACCUUAUUUAAAAUAAGUCCAUCUUUCCAUAUUUUAUAAUUUGUUGUAUAUUAUAUUGAAGUUUAUGUUAUAAUAAAAAAAAUGACUUAAUUAAUCAAAUAAUGUGGAGAAGGCACAAAGGAAUUGCAAAUGAAAACUUGUAUAUGUAUAAUACAGAAAACAUGCUUGUAUAAUUUAUUUUUAUCUUUGAAAGUUUAGAACACAAAGGAACAUAGAUAGCUUGAAAAACCUGAUCUCCUUCCCAGAGUUGUUCAAGAUGGUUGCGUGGCAUUUCGAGAGUCACUAGAUUUUGUGGGCAAAACUUUGGAGGCCAAAAUCUUUGAGGGAAAUCGUCCCAAUAUAGAAUCUUUAGAGUGUCCGGCAGACCUACAAGAGAUGAUUCAGGAGACACUUUUGAUUCCAAUCCCAACGUGUAGAGCCUAAGCAUCCUAAGAUUGUCCAUCUUUUCGAAACUUUGUGCAUGUACUACAACUUCUUUUACUUUCCACGUACCCCAGGUAUUUAGUAAUAUACACUGUAUUGCAUCUGACCCCUGAAAGUAAAUCAAUGUAAUUAGAAAAAAGCAUGAAAUGUUGCAUUUCAGAAUGCUUAAUGACAGAUCAGUAGUUUGCUAUUUUUCACAAAGUAACAACAGAAUAUACCUUGUUCUUUCUUAAGACCUCACAAAUUUCCUCAUCAUUAAACAAUCGGCUGCGUUUUCCAGGAUGCUGAGGACACUCUUUAUGAACAAUUUCUUUACCCAUUUCUUGUAUUAGAUCGUGCAUCACAAUUCUACCAUCAAUGACAGAUAUUAGGCCCCUAUCUUUGAGAAUAUCCAUUCCAAUCUUAGAAGAGAAACCAAAGUCAUCAAGUCUUUCUGCUACCUCAAUCUCCUGGCGUCCUCUAUAAAAGCAAGCUAUGUCAAGAAAUAUAUUCUUCUCCUCCUCCUCCAGCCAAUCAUAACUUAAUUUUAAUACAUUGAAAAUACCAAGAUGUUGGCCCUUUUUCAACUUUUGCAACUGACUCUCCCAUGCUUCUUUUGUUCUGCCAUAAAGCAAUGAUCCCAAAAUCUGGAGAGCUAACGGAAUCCCUUUUGCAUAUGUCAACACCUUUUUUGACAGUUCCCUGUAACCAAUUUCUUCUGAAGAUUUUUGUUUAAAAGCAUGUAAACUAAAAAGCUUCUGAGAAUCAUUAAAAUUCAACUCCUUAACUUCGUAGAUAUCAUCAGCUCCAGCAUUCCUAAGCACUUGUCUGUCUCUACUGGUGAUAAUGAUUCUACUGCCCUGCCCAAAACUAUCACUCCCUCUUAUUAAUUUUUGAAGUUGAGCUGAAUCGGUAACAUCAUCAAGAAUGAGGAGAACCUUUGUCCGUUUGAGCUCAGACAGAUAUUUUGUUCUGAUACUGUCUAUUCCAUCUCUUUGUAUUUUUUCUUGAACGUCUAAAACAAGGCUCCUGGAAUCAAACUGCAAUUCCAAUUUGUGAUAUAUUUGAUCACAAAUUGUACUUUUUCCUAUUCCUCCCAUGCCACAAAUGCCUAUGAUCCGAACAUCCGGUAAGUCAAGAUGCAACAAGGACUGAAUUCCUUCAAUAUUUUUUUCAAUGCCGAUGAUUCCUUGAUCAUAACUGGUGGAAUAACGAUUCAAUUUUCUCAAAAUAUCUCCCACAAUUCCUUCAACAAGUGUGUGUUCUGACCUGGCAGAUGAUUUAGAAAAUAAAGUAUAAGUAUUCAAACACAAAAGCUAAAGUAAACUAAAGAAAAAUUCUACAGUAACCGUUUGUGACUUCUGAUAAUAGGGAGCAGAUUUGUAGGUACAAAGUUAAGCUAUAAGAUGUGAUAUGGUUCAGAUCCAUGACCGACUAAGAGAAAUGAAAAAAGAAACACUUGAUUUAUGGUGAGAUGAACACAAUUUUAGUAAAUGAAAAGAGAUCCUGAUUAUCUAAUAAAUAUAAUGACCUGGUGACUUUUGAAUCCCAGCCUGAAAGUCCAGCAGCUUCGGUGAGAGCAUCCUUCCAUCCUUGCACUUUGUCCAUGUCGUGCUUAAACUGCUGCUCAUGCUUUUCGAAUGCUUCUUUGUAUCUUUGUUCCUGCUUCCUAAUAGUUGAUGGAUCCACCUUGUAGAAAACAGGUAUGACAUCCCUUCCAUAUCUCUUCUUGCAAUCAAGUAUCUUAGUGAGUUCAUUCAAGCACCAAGUGGAAGAUGCAUAGUUUUGGGAGAAAACGACGAUAUAAAUCUUCGAUUCUUCUAUUGCAGAGAGCAGUGCAGAUGAAAUUUCUUCGCCCCGGGGUAGUGUCUCAUCAAUAUAUGCUUCUAUGUUCUUCCUUUGCAGUGCUGGAUGAAGGUGGCUAAUGAAGUUGUCACGUGUGUCUUCCCCUCUGAAGCUGAGAAACACAUCAUGCUUUGUUAGAGAAGCAGACAUGGCCAAUGAUGAAGAACUUGCUGACAUUGGAAUCAAUUUUCUCUCCUUUCUCUGCAACUCUCAGUGCCUUUGU